rnacentral:lncRNA from 1 species
GUAACAACACUUCUACACAAGGGUUCUAUUUAUAGAACCACUUGCGUGGGCUGCAAGCUAAAAAGCCCACUCAAGUGUAUAAGGCCCAUAUCUUAUAAUAUGCCAAAAUCACUUAAGCGCGUGGUACCUUACCAUAUUUCGUAUUCUACUUAACUACACCGUACCUUACGAUGUUCUAUAAUUCACUUAAGGGCACCGUACAUUACGGUAUUCCUUAAUUACUCUAUCUCUUAUCAAUCCGUCCUUUGUGUGUGACCCUAUAGGUUUUCGCGGUGUUGACAAUUAUAUUAAAUCACGUAUUUAACAUAAUAAACAGUGAGCGGUAUCUAGAAACACAUCACUGCUACCCAAGACACGAAAAUGUCAUGUGAUCUGACAAAUCCUUAUGUGAUAAUAAUUAUGUGUAUAAUUACCCUUUUGUCCUUAUGUCUAUAUUGAACACAAGGCAUAGACCGUGCCAUCCUUGUCCAGUUCAAUAUUGGGCCCAUAUACAUUUAUCCUGUUACGCAGGAUGGGCAAAUUCCAUCUAGGUCACUCAUGUCCCUUAGCAUGCUUCGUGGAGUACCCAUCAACUGUCUUUAUGGUCAUCCAAUUACGGACAAUGUUUGAUCAGCAAUACGUUUAAUGUAUCAAGUAUGACUUAAUCAUUGAGAUUACAUUAAUAUAAGGACACUAUUCUUAAAGUAUCCGUAGUCAAGCUUUAUUGUGAAGUGGAUAAUAUUAAGCAUGAAGACUAUUAUGUUUAUGGACUGAUGAUCACAUCUCAUGGGAUCAUGGAUAAGAGUUUCAAGUCUUAACAUAGGUAUGAAUAUUAAGAGUAAUAAUUUAUACUGGAUUGACCCGCUAUGAGAAUACUAUAUAGAAUGUAUAUGCAAAGUGUCAUAAGUUAUUCUCAUGGUGAUAAUGGUGUAUACCACCUUCGACCUGAAACCACUAUGGACCCUAGAUGUAGAAGUCGGCCUUAUUGCUGAUCAAACAUUGUCCGUAAUUGGAUGACCAUAAAGACAGGUGAUGGGUACUCCCACGAAGCAUGCUAAGGGCAUGAGUGACCUAGAUGGAAUUUGCCCAUCCUGCGUAACAGGAUAAAUGUAUAUGGCCCAAUAUUGAACUGGACAAGGAUGCACGGUCUAUUGCCUUGUGAUUCAUAUAGACUAAGGACAAAGGGUAAUUAUACACAUAUAUAUCACAUAGGAUUUGUCAGAUCACAUGACAUUUUCGUGUCUUGGGUAGCAGUGAUGUGUUCUAGAUACCGCUCACUGUUUAUUAUGUUAAAGUGAUUUAAUAUAAUUGUUACACGCGAAAACUAUAGGUCACACACAAAGGACGGAUUGAUAAGAGAUAGAGUAAUUAAGAUACCGUAAUGUACGGUGCCCUUAAGUGAAUUAUAGAACAUCGUAAGGUACGUGUAGUAAGUAGAUACGAAUAUGUAAGGUACACGCGCUUAAGAUGUUUUGGCAUAUUAUAAGAUAUGGGCCUUAUACACUUGAGUGGGCUUUUUAGCUUGCAGCCCACGCAAGUGGUUCUAUAAAUAAGAACCCUUGUGUAGAAGUGUUGUUAAAGUUGAAAUUUUGUUUCUCUCUUCUCUCUCUCUCUCUCUCUUCUCUUCUCUUUCUUUCUCUCCUCUCUUCACACACACAACUCAAAAGCCUUCAUUCGUAGCGUUAGCACUGAGAUUGAAGGAAUCGUUCGUGUGGACUGGUAGAGGCGUUGUCAUUGUUCAACAUUCACGUCUGCUCUGUAGACUGCAUCAAAGGUUUAAUCGCCACAGAGGUAACGAUUAUAUCACUUAUCAUGCCAUUCGUAAGGAUCAUAAGGAGAAUUUUAAUUCUGCUGCGUUUGGAUCGCGUUCUCCUUCAGUGGUACAGAGCCACUUACGAAACCAUGCAUCUAAAGCUGUUAUUUUCGUAUUUUCUGUAUAAUACGAUUAAAAGACAGAAUGAAUCAAAGAUAAUACGAGUAAUAAAUUAAGAUCGAUCAAGUUUAUAUAUGGAUAAGUAAUCUGAUGCAAAUACGAUAUAUAUGAUAUACUGUUUUGUUUUCAUUCAUUCAAACACUUAUGGUUGUUUCCUUUGAGCGAUCAAUGGUCGUUGCUUCUGGAUCUGACAUUAGUAUGGUAAGCAAUGCGUGUUGUCAAUCAACUGAAUCAACAAUCGAGAUGUGUUUGACGGUUUGGAAAUUAUGCAUUAGGUUAAUGACGGCACAAGGGUUGUUGGCAAGAGUUAUGCAUUAGGGUUAAUGACGGCACAAGGGUUGUGUUGUCAAAGGUUAUGCGAUUAGGCUGUGACUAUGCAAAGUUUGCUUUAAAAGUAUCAAGUGUUCAUGCGGAAAAACGACGCGAUUUCAAAUGAAUUGUUCAUUAAAAAUUUCGGCCAGGGGCGCCUGCCCCUUUAACCCCGCAAUGAAUGUUCCGCAACCGGGUAGCGGACCCCGGCUAACUCUGCGUAGGUGUGAGUCCGCGCGAACUUAAUUUGGUUUAUUAAUUAAAAGAAUUAAAAUUAAUAAUAAUAAUGUUUUAUUAUUGCUUAUGGUGAUCGGUUAUUGGCCUGUUUUCCUUUUUUGUUUGGGUUUAAAUCGACCUACGUCUCGUGCCUCUCUUUUAAUCUCUUAAUGUAACUUCUUUCUCAUCUCACUCCCUGCUAUGUAAAGCGAGUUUCUUUUGUAUGUAAUUUAUGAAGAAAGAGAAGAUUCAAUAUCAAGUGAGGACAACCUGAAGAUCUUGCUUGGAAAGUUAGAUCGUAUUAGGUAGCUUAGGUUCUCUCUGGCUUGGAGAACAAUUGCGAUAAGGGGCCAUAACUGUUCAUUAUGGUAUGUUGAUGCAUGGAUGUAUGCUUGAUGCAUGCUGAGAGACAUUGUAUAUAAAUAACAGUGGGAUCAGUAAUAAUUGCAAUUCCCUCAAAUAAAUAUUAAGUUUAUGUUUUCCAAGUUUAACACUCAUCAAGAUAGUACGGAUAAUGUAGGUCGCCUACGCGAGGUGCAUGUCUAUAUUAGUAAGGUGCGAUGGGAUAAUUGUAAUAUCAAUGUUAAAUUGGGUCAAACUAACUAAACAAAUUAUAAUAGGUAUAUAUGUUUAGAAGCAAGAGUUGGAAAUGAUCCAUGUGAUGGAUUGGAAUAAGGAGUUAUUCACCAACUAAANCAUGAUUAAGUCAUACUUGAUACAUUAAACGGACUAGCUAUUCUAGGGACUUUAUUAAACAAACAUAAUAAAGAAAAAGCCUUUUAUUAUUAAUAAAUAAUUCGAUACAAGUACCAAAAGUAUUGGCCUCUAGGGCUUACACCAACACCGAGAAGGUGACCUCGUGCUUAAGAAAGUUUUGUCUUUCGCGCCCGAUUCCAUGGGCAAGUGGACUCUAAACUAUGAAGGACCAUAUGUUAUUAAUAGAGCCUUUUCAGGCGAUGCUUUGAUACUCACAACUAUGGAUGGGGAGGAUUUCACUCGUCCUGUGAAUUCAGAUGCAGUCAAGAAAUACUUCGCCUAAAUAUAAGAAAAACAGAAUAGCUCGCUAAGUUGAAAACCCGAAAGGGCGGCUUAGGAAAAAAUGAGCGUCUCGGUGGAUUGAAAACCCGAAAGGGCAGUCCAGGCAAAAGUUAGAGACAUAAAAAAAAUGAAUAUACAUCCCGCUAGAUUGAGUACCUCACCCUGGGGCAAUCUAGGCAAAAAUUAUGGAUUUGACAAGUAACUGCAUCCUGACAAGACGUUGUUUUUCAACUGUCAUAUGUCAAAGAUUCUCGCUCAGUCGUCGUCAACUGAAGUUUCAAAUACAUUGGAUUCAGAGUUGGUGGAGAAAUGGUCAUUAUGUUCAAUGUAGCCCUUUUUCCAAUAUAUAUCACCAAUUUCAAAUUUGUAAAAAUCUAUGGAGUCUCGCCAUUUGCGGACUACCAUUCUAUCAAAUAAAUUUGAGCCUUUAUCCAUUUUUUUUGCACUCUUAUUUGUUUAUGCUCAACAAAUGUUUGCAUGUUUUAAUUGAUAAAUAUCAUUGUUUCAAACAAAUAAAGUUUUUAUAAAUUGUUUUGAACAAAGUGAACAUUCACAAUGACUGAAAGGAUAAAUGGAAUGUCUUCAGUGCUCUCCCAAUGAUAGUAUGAUCUCCAAAGGGUAAGACAUUUGUUCAUAUUCUGGCAUGUUUGUAUCCUUUUCAUAGUCUUUCAGGUUGUCUCCCCAACGAGCGCAGAAAAAAUAAAACAUCCUCAACUCCCCAGAGAGCCUGGAGUUUUGGCCUCGAUCUUUUAGAGACGUGUAUACCUCUAUAUCAGGCACUAGCAUUUGUGUUUUAUCAAUUAUAUGGUUGUCAUCCCUUAUGUGGACUGACCUAAAAUCCCUUAUAGAUUGAUAAAAGUUGAUAUGCUAUUCAUGAGGAAGUUUGUCUUUCCCCAGUGAGCAAAAAUUCCCCGCAUGAGUAGAAGUCCUCAACGAAGUAAGCAUGUGUUCCCUGCUAAGCUAUCUUUCAGAUAUCUCCUCAGCAGUAGUUGCCUAGAGCAGUUGGUGAAGGGUUUGUUCCCUUUUCAUCCCUAGCAUGGCACGUGUUGACGUAGGAUUCGUUUCCGAUUCCCUCAACCAGGACAGUUCCUCCGGAGGUACUUGUAGUUAUCCCCAAUAGAGUUGCUUGCAGCAGACUAUCACCAGUAUGAUCGCCUAUAGUCCCUUCCUAGUGGAGUUGCAUGAUCCUAGCUUGACAUUUGUAUCCCCUCUGUGGUUGAAAAUUUCUUCUAGUAUUGGACGACGAUGAGAAAGAUGUGUUAUUUCCUUCCCCAGCGGAGCCAAUGGUUCUCUCUCUCCCCUAGCAGAGAUGUCCCUCCAGCAGUUAAAAGGGAGUGUUUGAUUGAUGUGUAUCUGUUUGGUGGUUGUUCCCCACAGAAUCUCACAUUAUCCCCUGAUAAGAUCCCCAGUAGAGUUCUUCUAUGACAAAUCUUAUUGAUAUCUCGGCAUGUUCCCCAGCCGAGACUUUGCCUGUCCCUAGCAGUGGUCCAUGACUCUUGGUAGUUGAUGUAUCCCCACCAGAAUUGAUUUUUCCUGUGGGCCCGACCUUUCUCUUUUGAUGUUAUACCGGAUGUCUGUCCAUUGAUUCUCGGACCUGUUUAUGUUAGAUAUAUCUGUUUGUCAGCAUUAAUCAUACAUAAACCACGCAUAUACAUGCAUAAUUAUGGCAUUCAGAUAUUCAUGUUGCAUUCUUUUCCAUAUAUCUUUGCUUGCUAUCUCCUUCUAUUAGUGAAACAUUUUUCCCCAAGCAGAUGUAUGUGUCUGAUCUCUCCAUAUAGAGUCAGCCCCAUAGGCAGAAAGUGUCUAUCUUUCUUUCCAUAUUCCCCACUGAGUUAUGUCAUCGUGGAUGAUUAUUGUUUCAAUUUCCUCCAUCAUGUUUGGAUUUUCCAUGUGGGACUUUUGAAGAGCUCAAUGUUUAGGUUCAAUUAUGCAAUUCACAUCAUAACUUCAUGCACAAGCUAAUGCGACUCCAAUUACAUAUUUUAAAAUUUUCUUGCCAAUGUGGCAAAAAUUUUCUUGAAAAAUCUAGUUUCAUAUUUUAAAUUUUAAUUAUUUUUAUGACUUCAUUUAAUAUCUUUUGUGAAUUAUUUGGUUUUUAAUAGUUUUUAAUUCAUUUUAAAUACUUUUUGAUAUCUGAAAAUUCCCAAAAAAUAUUUUCUUAACACAUAUGGAUCAUGAUGAGUCAAUGAAAAAUAGUCUCAUCAAUUUCUUAAUUGAUUUGAGAUUUAUUUGAGAUUUUAAUUCAUAAUGUGUUAUUUUUAAUUGAUUUUAAAUAGUUUCUGAUUUCAAAAAUUGUUGAAAUUUUUUGUCAAACCUUGUUUGACCAUGUUAGACCUAUGAGAAUUUAAUUGGACUUGUUUAAGUUGAUUUGAAUUGAAUUUGAGGUUUGACCAUAUCUUGUCCUUUUUUAAUUUUGCAUUUAUUUUAAUUCCAAAAAAUACCAAAAAAAAAAUGUUUGACUUGUUGACUUCUAGUCUUCAUUUCUCUUCUGUUUUACAUUGGUUGAUGAUGAUUUGAUUCAUAUUUGAUCAUUGUGUUUCGACAUUUGAAUUCUCCUUUUAUUCCAUUUCAUCUUCAUCUUAUUUCUUUUACUUUGGCCAAUGAGUUAAUGUCUUAUGGUUGGUCUUGACAUAUGAGAGGCUUAAUCUUCUUUGAUCCAAAUCAAACUCAACUUGAUCCAUGAUCAAGUGAGUUGCUUUGUGUCAGUUUUGUUUCAGUUAUGUAUUGGGAUGAAAUUACUCCCCUGAGCUAUAUCCUCAUUGGGUUGAGUUUUGUUUCAUUGUGUCUUUCUGGUUUGUUCCUGGAUUGACUCCCUUCUUGUUUUUCCCCCUGCAGCUUCCUGUGGUUUAAUUGUUCAAUUGCUCAGUAACCAGUAAUUGUUCAUCUUCUCCCCAGCGGAGGUGUUGGCCUUCUACCCAAUAACUGGUAGUUGUAAGUCCUUUUUUUGUGGUUUUCUACCCAGUAACCGGUAGAUGUAAUCCCCUCUUUGAUUGGUUAUCUUUAUUCGGUAUUGAUAUUCCUUCAUUUUUGAGUAUACCACCCAGUAACCGGUGAUAUAUCUCCUGGAUAAUUGUUGUUGUCAAUGUAUCCCCAGCGAGUCAUCCUUCAUUUACCCUUGUUCGGUAAUGAUGGUUUCUCCCUUUUGGUUCGUCAUCAUUUUAUACCCAGUAACCGGUAUCCCGAUGUCCUUUCUUUUCGAUCGAUUUAUCCUUUAUUAACCCAGUAACCGGUUGUGGAUAAUCUUCCAUGCGAGUAUGUUAUCUACGUUAUGACGGUAAUAGAUAAUAUAUCACACGCGCUCUUCAGUCGAAGUCUUUGUUCUUCCCCAGUUGAGUAAGAUUCGUAUUUCCUUAUGGAAUCGAAUGUCCAUCCUGUAAGUCGAGUUUGCUUUUUCAGCCCUCCUUUCGGAUGAUGAGUGUCUUGGAUAUGUUCCCAAUUCACGCCUGGUUGGUCACCUAUUAUAUGCCCAGUAACCGGUAUCUCUGGUGUUCCUUCCCUCUGCUCCCUAUUAUGACUUUUUGUCCCCUGUGGAGUCAGACUUUCCUGAGUUGAGAUGUGCCUUUUGGGUCCUCCUCAGACAUUUCGGAUGAUUGAUAUCUCUCACCCUUAUACCGGUCCUAGAUUUUCUUUCUCCCUGAGCAUGUUAUUCUCUCACCUAGUAACCGGUGUUUUGAUCACAUGUCUCUCCUUGAGUUUAUUACCCAGUAACCGGUAAUAUCUCGUUGUUUCUUCCUCAUCUGAGUUUCCUUUAUUGGAGUUUCCCCAUAUGAGUCCGGAUUUUUAUCCGAAGUAUCCUUUGCGGAUAGUUCUGUUGUAUUGGCAUAUUCCCCAAUACAUGCAUCUUUGCGUCAGCUCGAUUCUUUCCAUCGAUUUAUUUUCGUGGAAUCCCUUCGUGUCUCCCAGCAAGUUUUCAAGUCGUGCCCUGCUCACACAUUUUUACCCUAUUUUUCCCCGGAGUCUCUGUCUCCCUAGUGAGUGUGUCACUCCUAGAGAUUUUUCAGUUUCUCCUGAUUUCUUUUCCUUUGUGGCAAUUAUUCACUACGAAGAGUUUUAUUUUUGCAUGCAUACAUUUGCAUCAUGAGGUCUCUUAGGGACCAAAAUUCAUCUCUUUGUUAUUAUUUAAGCCCAUUCUACCUCGUUGAGACAAAGAUUUUAACCUUCAUAUAUCUAGCUAGAAUGAACUUAAAUAGGGGCAUCUGUAAGACCCUAAUUUUGACCCUAAGAUCCCUCAUGGCAUCAUAUCAUUUACUUUAUGCAUUGCCUCAAGGAUCAUAACAUGUGUGGCUCCUUAACCCUUGGGUUGGGACUUGUGUGAGUGGUUUGAGAUCACCAAGCAUGCUUGAAUUGUAUAUUAUUUUCUUUUCUUAUUUUGUUUACUAACCAAAAGCACAAAAAUAUGUCACUAACUCUUUUUGUUUUGAAGCUCAAAUGAUCAUGUGCUCCAAUGCUCCUAGGAGGCUCCUAAGCUCAGUGAAAUGGUUAAAUGAGGAUGAGAACAAGCAUGACAAUGGACCACAAGGUUCCUAAUCAUCAUAUAUGUAUCCUAAUUAUCUCAAUUUGCCAAUUUGAUCAAGAUAACCCAAAGGGCUUGAGGAUUGUUUCCCAAGGAAACCCUAAUUCAACUGUGCUUUGACAGUGCUUUGCUCAUGAAACAACCUCAACCUAUGAUCAAAUUAAAUCAAGGGAAGUUCUUUCAUUAAUUAUUUUAUGCAUAUAUGAGCCUAUUUGAGUAUCCUCAAUCAUUCAUUCAUCAAGAUUUGAAGUUUGGCCUUGAGAAGUUGACUAGUCAAGUCAUCUGACCAAACUGAGGAUCAUUGAGACACAACUUUUGAUGUGUUUGUUAAAUAAAGAUGACCCCAAGAGAAAAUUUGUUCUUACGAACAAUAUGAACAACUUUCAUUUUCAUCAAAAAUCCAUUUUAAACUUUGAAGGUCAUCAUUCAUUUCAAAACAUUAUAGGUCAUUUUGAUUGAAACCCUAAUUUUGGGUCAACUUCCCAAGGACCUAACUUCUUUAUUUUUUAUGAUUUUGAGGUGAUACAAAUUGAAGUGGAAAUAUUAAGAUGUCUACUUAAAAUGUUAUGUUGUACAAAAUUUCAUAAUCCCAAAAGAAACACAUGUGAUAAUACAAAACAUUAUAGGUCACUUUGGACCAAAGCCAUUGAAUUUGAAAAAUUUCCAACUUUCUCAUUAAAAAUCCAAAUGAUGAAAACUUUAAGUCCAAAUUGAUCAUCUUGAAAAUAUAUACAACUUUUAUGUUUAAUGUUUUUCCAUUUGAGGCAUGCAUCAUUGAAACACAAGGGCUUGAAGUUGCUUAUUUUUGGCAAAUUUUUCAAAGACAUGUUUUGUACCCCAAACUUCAAAGUCAGUUUUCAUAAAUUUCCACACUCCAAAUUGAUUUUUGUGCAACAUAACUUUUAUUCCUUAUGUCAAGAUCUUUCCAACCAUUACUCACAUGCCCAUGCUUGGAUUUUUUAAGUAUGACUUUCAAAGAGGGGAACAUUUGUGACCAAUUAUGCAUUUCACUUUGAAACUUCAUGCACAAGCAAUUGCAAUUCAAACUACACGUCCAAUCCACUUCAGAGUGAUACCAGCUUGCAUUUCGAAUUGAUUUUGGGUCUCACGUGCGCCUGUACAGGCCCAUGCAUGGAGGACCCAAGGAUCAUGCACGCGAGUAUUUUCCCUCCUUGCCGUGUAGCUCAGCUAUAAAUACCAUGCUUGCUUCAUUCAAUGGAGAACCCUGAAUUCAACCUGAAGCUCUGCAGAAUUGGAAACCCAACAAUACCAAAAGAACUCUCAUUUUUAAUUUCUCAUUUCAAGUUUAAAUUUCAACAAAAUCAAUUGAUCUUCAAUACUUAUUCCUUAGCCUUGCACUCAUAUCACAUCUUAAGAUCAAAUUGCAAGCAAGAAUUGGAGCAGAUCGUGUUGUUUAAAGCUGCACUUCAAAGGUUUAUGAUCCAACUGUUUUGAGCGAUAUCUCAUCAUAUAUUGUGAAUUGCUUGUGUUCAAUUGGUUUUCUGAAGUCCUCGUGUGAGAGGCAAGCCAACGGUGGCUUUGAUUUCAUGUUUUAGAACAUUUGAGUUUGAACACCUGGAAAUUCAAGCUCAGAUUUCUCAUUCCAUAGAGAUCUUGAGAGAAAUCCAAGGUUACAGGGGUGAUGUACAUCACCCUAGCUUCAUUUUGGUAUAAGGAUCAUGCAUUUUGGUUGAGGUUUGAAAACCUGCAACUGGUGGUCGGAAAUAGUUAGUUCACCGGAGAAGACGGUGGUUUCCACCACCGUCCCCACGUGGAAUCAUCUGGCCCCUUGGAUCUCCUUCCAGCGUUCUAAUCCUGACCUUUUGUUUAUUUGACUUUUUUAAAUCCAAUGUGUUUCGCGCUUGACUCGUGCCUACCAUGGAAGCGCGCCUCUAAGCCUUUGAUUGUGUCCACGCCAUUUAAUGAAAUGGAUCAUGCAAUCCUGGUUUUUUCACAUUUUCUAUUUUUCUGUUUUAUUUUCUUUUAUUCCAUUUAUUUUCAAAAAUUCAUAACUAUUUUAUUUGGAAUCACAAAAAUAUGAGACCAAUUGCAAAAAAUUUCUUGAAAAAUCUAGUUUCAUAAUCUGAUUUUUUUAACUAUUUUAUUUGGAAUCACAAAAAUAUGAGACCAAUUGCAAAAAAUUUCUUGAAAAAUCUAGUUUCAUAAUCUGAUUUUUAAUUAUUUUUGUGAUUCCAUUUAAUAUUUUUUGUGAAUUAUUUUAUUUUUGAUAUUUUUUAAUUCAUUUUAAAUACUUUUUGAUAUUCAAAAAUUCCAAAAAUAUUUUCUUAACACAUAUGGAUGAUGAUAGGUCUAUGAAAAAUAUUCUCAUCAAUUUUUCAAUUGAUUUGAGAUUUAUUUGAGAUUUUAAUUCAUUUGUGUUAUUUUCCUUUGUUUUUAAUUAUUUUAAAAUAGUUUCUGUUUUCAAAAAAUGUUGAGAAAAUUUGUCAAACCUUGUUUGACCAUGUUAGACUUAUGAUGAUUCAAUUGGACUUAUCCAAGUUGAUUUGAAUUAAAUUUGCAGUUUGACCAUAUUUUAUUCAUUUUCAUUUAUGCUUUAUUUUAAUUCCAAAAAUACCAAAAAUACCAAAAAUAUGUUUGACCUUUAUUGACUUCUACUCUUCAUUUCACAUCUAUUUACCAUUGAUUGAUGUUGAUUUCAUUCACAUUUGAUCAUUAUGUUUUGAUUAUGUCAUUUGAAUUCUCAUCUUGUCUAUUUCAUCUUCAUCUCUCUUCUUCUUCUUUUUUCUUUUGGCCAAUGAGUUAAUGAUUAAUGGUUAGCCUUGACAUAUGAAAGGCUUAACCUUAUUUGAUCCAAAUCAAAUUCAACUUGAUCAAAGACCAAGUGAAUUGCUUUGUGUCCAAGAUAGGUUGCUUCUUGGUCAAGCAAAAAACCUAAAAUCCAUACAAGGCCUUUUCUUCUUUUCUUUUGGCAUGGCAAGUUGUAGGAGCUUGACUUACUAGUCAUGAUCUCUAACUUGUGUUUAUUUUCCUAUAGUUUUAUUGAUCGACCUCAGAUAGGUGUGACUACUACAUUAGUCCACUUAGAAUUGCUUAACAUAACGCUAAAUUGUCUUAUGACACACUAACAUUAAUUACUAACACUAACUUUAGUUCAAGCAUUUAAUUCUUGCAAUUUACUUUAAUGCAAUUUAAUUUCUUACUCAUUUAUUCAUAUUGCCUUUUCCCUUUACUCACUUGAGCUCAUAUUUUAUGUUUAUGCCAUUUUCCUUUUGCUCACUUGAGCUCAUUAUUGUGAAUAAAUGUAUUGUUGCUUUGUGCUUGUUUUGUGAUUGUUUGUGUGAACCCAAUGCAAAAAGGAGAAAGGACUUAGAAUUAGGCCCUUACCUAUGCUCAAAGGAGUUCAAGAGCAACUAGGCCUCAUGCCUUUAGAAUGCUAAGUUUGUUGAAGAGCAACUAGGUCUCAUGCCUUUAGAAUGCUUAAUCUUAAAGUUGACUUGAAAGGACCCCUAAUCUAAACUCACUCUUUGUCCAUUCCUCUUAUUGCAUUGUGAACUUUUUGAUUGUUUGUUCUUGUGUGGUAGGGAUCCCAAACUUGAGAUAGUAAGAAGGACCAUUGUCAUGAGCAUCCAAGUUAAGAGAUACAAGUCCAAAUGGAGAUCCUAGGAGCUUGAUUGAAUAUUUGUUUGAUUGCUUGAGUUAAUUGCUAAGUCCAAAGGAAAGGAGCAUCUUGAAUCAUCUUUAUGAUCUCAAGAAAGGGAACUCCAAGGGUUUUAUCUCUUCUCUUAUCUUUGCAUGUUUAUGACUAGCCUUUCUCUUCUUCUCUUCACUCUAACCCAAGCCAAACUCAUUUUGUGCAAACAUUGACAUUGUUUUCAAAUUAGAAACCUAGGCCUUAUGCCUUUGAUUUUUCAAACUCUUUUCAUUAAUACUCAUUGUAAAUAAACCUUAAUUCAUACUUUGACCUCAUUUUGUGAAUACUUCUAAUUUGUAAAUACAACUCAUUUCAAGUGCUUUUUUGGUUUCAAUGGCCACCUUUCUUAAAACUUUUUCAUAAACAUUAGCCAUAGGUUUGAGUUAUCAUAGUGGUUGAUGUAAACCUCACCUUAUCCUUAGUGAUUAUACUAUAAGUCUUCCAUACUUAUUAUAGGGUGGACCCCUCACUAGUAUGUUGAAGCUCUCCUCACAUGGUGGAUUGUUGGUCUAGGUUGAGUUUUCUCCCUUUGAUAACGAAAGACCUUAAGGCUUUUGAUCAAAUCAAUUCACCCGUAUUUUUGAGAUUUUUACCCCGAACUACGAGGUUUUGAUCCUACAUUUGUGAUGGUACGUAGGCAAUCGGUUCAUCCAUUCAAACAACAAAACUGUAAAUAAUAUGUACAUUAUUUUCUCAUCUCUCCUAUCUUGUUUGCACAAAUAUUUUCACAAAUACCAACCUACAAUACACUUUGCAAAAAGGGCUCCCUUGGAGUACUAAGGAUGUUUUGGGUGCUUGAAACCUUCCCAUUGCAUAACCAACCCCCUUACCCAGAUCUCUGACAUUUUUAUUAGUUUUUGAUUUGAUAAAACUAUUUAGUUUUUGUUCGCUUUCUAACCUUUCCUUUGGAUAAAUAGAAGUGCGGUGGCGACUCAAAUUGUAUGAUUUACUUUUGAUUUAGUCAAUAAAUCUAAAGGUAACGAAUACCCCGCUACAGUUGCAAGUCACGAGCAUGGAGUCUGGGUAAGAACCAUCCCAAAGGAGUGAACUAAGGAUAAAACCUGUAGAUCAUGUUCUAAACAGUUCCCAGAGUCUUAAUUCCAUCUAUCGGAUAUUACAGGUUAAGAUGACUGACACAUCGACCCAUAAUAUUCUCAAGAGAAACUCGUCUGAGUGUAGUAUCGCGUAACAACUGUUAUCAAGUCUACACCUGAACAGUUUCUGUACUACGUCCUAAAUAGGCCAAGAUGGGUUAGGUGUUCUAAGGUCCUCAGCUUCUCAGACCCAAUUAGAAAUAGUCAUGCCUAACCAUAAAUACUUGUGUGACAUUUCCGAAUCCAAAGGAGUCUCCACUGAGCAGAUGGAUCUCAAGCCAACUUGUUAAGGACUACUCCACACAAGUCGAACAUGACUAUACCAUCCUCCUAUCUUAAUUGCACUCAAGUUCGGGUUAGAACUUAUUCUGAGCAGAUGGAUCUCAAGCCAACUUGUUAAGGACUACUCCACACAAGUCGAACAUGACUAUACCAUCCUCCUAUCUUAAUUGCACUCAAGUUCGGGUUAGAACUUAUCUCACCACUCAGAGAUCAGCAAGCACAACAAGCAGAUUAUAUCACACAUACAUAUAUACAAACAUCACAUAUGUACAAAUAUAUUCACAAAAAAAGUAGGCUAAACCCACUAGAGACUACUCCCCAGCAGAGUCGCCACUUAAUUUCUAUAGCGGAAAUUCAUGAUCAUCAAGCUAUUGAUAAGCUAGAGAUCAAUUAACAAGAGUCGCCACCGUACUUUUAUUGUUUCCAAGGGAAAAGGGAAAAGUACGAACAAAACCCAAAUAGUAAGAAGUUUUCAAAUAAAAACUAAUAAAAGUCAGAGAUCACAGAUAAGGGGGUUGGUUACACAGAGGGAAGGUGUUAACACCCAAAGUGUCCUAGGUACUCCUAGGGAGCCCUUUUUGUGUGCAUAUGUAUUUGGUACAAAGUGAUGUUUACAAACAAAUAGAAUGGGGGGAUGAGGAAAGAAUUCAUUAAUUAUAGUUUUGUGUUUGACAAGACCUUCGGUCUUGUGCCUACGUACCAACAUAUAAAUGAGGGAUCAAAACCUCAUAGUUCAUGCUAUAAAUUGCAAAAUGAGUGUGUCGGUUUUAACAAAAUUUAAGUUUGAAAAGGCACAAAGGCCUAAAAUGAUUUGAAUGAGUUGGUUCUUUUUAGCUUUUUGAAAUUUUAAGUCAAGCAUAGUUAAGUUUAUUUACAAGUUUGAUUUAAGAAAAUAAGUUUGAAAAUGCAACGGCAUAAGGCCAAAGUUUCUACCUUUUGCAAAAGUGGUCAACGUUUAGAACAAAAAGUAGUUCACACAAAGAAGGUUUUAAAAAUGGAGGGAGAGAUUUUGAAAUUAAAGAAAUAGGGAGAAGAUGAAGAGACUGCCCUAUGUACAAGAAUUUAAAAGUUUAAAGUUGAAAAGAUCUUACCAAAUAGGAGCAAUCCAAUAGACAAAUAUGUCAAUAGAAACCCAGAAUCCCCUUGGAAUUUUUUAGGAUCAAGCAACACACAAAUGCACAAUUAUAUCAAUCUUGAAGAGCAAAGGCAUCAAAUAAAGAUGGCCUCAUCCAAUCUUAUCGACUUCAAAGAUCUUCCUCAAAAUAGCCCAUGCAACAGAUGAAUUCCACAAUUCAUAGGUUCAACAUAACAGCUUAUCAAUGAUCAAUGUUGCAGAUGAAUCUGGAGAGAUCUAGAAUGAUGCAUCAUAUGAACUCAAAUUGCAAUCACUUGGUUCUUCAACAAAUUGGUAUUGGCCAAGUCCAUUAGCAAAGGAAUGUUGCCUGAGUUCUAAGUCUAAUUGGGCAAGAUCAAACCAAUAGUCCAUUCAAAUGUCUUUUAGGGUUUUUGUUAUUAUUAUGUACAUUAAUGGUCAAAGACCAAACAGACAAGCAAACAAAAUAAUAUCACAAUAUGGUCCAAAUGGAUAAAGUAAAAAUUACAUUAACAUAAACAAUUAGAAUGAUAUGUAUAAUGGCAAAUGAUAAUAGAAUACUAAAAGCAAAUUUCAUUAAAGUAAAGACUUGAAAGUAAAAGUUAAUGGUUAGUAAGUUAAUAGUUAGUUUUGUUUUGCUUUUGAUUUCAAGACAUUCUUUGGAGAACACACAACCCACUUGCCACAAGUAUGGAUCCUUGAACCAAAACAUCUUCCAAAGGAAGGAAAGAAAGCCAAGUUUCCACACAAUACCAUGGAAGAGGGGAGACCUAAAAUCUCACUAACUAGAAUGCUUAUGCCUUUUAUGUCACAAAUUUAGCGCUAUGUUAAGCAAUCGUAAUUGGACUUACGUAGAAGUCAUAACUAUUUGAGUUCAGGCAAUAAACUUUUGGUGUUAAUGCAUGUUGGAGACAUAGUAUUAAGAACUAUACUCAUUAAACAUACCACACACAAAAAAAUAUGCAAAGGUGUGGCCUAAUCUCAUCCAUACUCAUGUUAUACUUUCAAUCAACUAGCAUUAGGACUUUGAGAUGUCAUUGGCCAAUUGAAAAUGAAUGGAUGAAAAAGGGAAUUAGAUGAAGAGGAGAUGGGAUGAAUGAGAUCACAAAUUGGUCAAAGGAGGACUUUUACCAAAUUAAUAUUAUUCAUUCAUUUUGGGAGAUGGAAUGUACAUUCCAUCAAUCCCCUAAAUCCAAUAAUAUUAACUUGACAAACUCAAAUCAACCUUGACCAAGGCCCACCAACAAAUGAGAAACUCAAUUAAGUCAAUACAAAUGGUCAACACAAUUAAAAUGGCAUUUAUUCAAUUAAAAAUAGUAAAAUAAUGCAUUAAAUUUAAAUAUGUUUUGUCCAAAUCCUAAAAUCUCAUCAAAACACUAAUAGUAAAAUAAUGCAUUAAAUUUAAAUAUGUUUUGUCCAAAUCCUAAAAUCUCAUCAAAACACCAAAUAAAUGGUCAUGAGAUUUAUCAUAGGUCAAACAAGGUCAAAGGACCUUGGAGAAAAAAUUUCAUAAUUUUUGGACACUUAAAAAUAUUUUAAAACAAUUAAAAACAAAUGAAAAAUCCAUUAAUUAAUGAAAAAUAUUAAUAAUGAUACAAAAAAUAAUUUUAAUUCAAAAUAUGAAAGGGAAAAAUAUUUGAAAUUUUUUGGUGAAAGUCCCAUAAUUUUUGGAUCAAUAUUAAAUUUAUUAUGAAUUAUUGAAGAAAAUGGAAUUAAACUAAAAAUCAUAAAAUUCAAAAAUAUGUGGACCAUCAGAUCUCCGUCAUUAAUUGAUGUGGCAGAUAUGAUGAUCCAAAACGCGCGUUCCACCAAUGCCUCAGUCAACAACGUUGUAACAUGAGUAAUCACAAGGAACGACUAUGAUUAAAACGUGGAGCAUGGAUCAUACGGUUCAGACUCAAGACACAUCAUCACCGGAGCCAGAGCUCCGGUUGUCUUCUCCGAUGAGCUUCACCGGACUAGUCAACAUGAACCAUCACCAAAAUGCAAAACAGGGACAUGAUUUUAAAGAGAAAACAUCACUGAGCAUGAAUAUCACCUCCAAUUCAUCCAAUUCCAACUAUAUUGAGAGAUAUGUGGAAUUGAAAAAUGAGGUUCACGAUCUGAGUUGCUUCAAUUUGGCCUCAAAGCAACUCAAUCUUCUUGCCUACAUUGGUAGGAUUUCAGACAACACAAGAAUCAAUGAAAUUUAGCAAGAAUCAAGGAGAAUCGAAGAGUUUAAAAUUUAUGCAAAUUACCUUCAAUGGAGGUUUGAGCUUGCUAGAUCUUGAUCUGAAUCGUGCUUAGCUUCACUUCAAUUGCUUGCAGAAGAGGAAUGGAAAGGCUUAAAAUCAAUGGACUCCUGGAGAAUUGAAUUCCAAAACAAUGGAGAUUCAAGCUCAAAUUCAAAUGAACUUAUCAGGGUUAUCCUCUUAGUGUGAAGGGUUUUCAAUGGAGAUUCAAAGUUGGCGCAAUGUGUGUGUUAAUUCUGAGCAUAAGGGCCUCAAUUUAUAGGGAAAUCAAAUGAUAUUUGCACACUCUUUCCACUUUCCGAAUUUGGCAAAAUGAUGAUACAAAGCUGCAUGGGUGUGCAUAGGCCCAUGGAAUGAUGGUUUGAAAGUCCAAAAUGAAGUUCAGAUGCUUUGAAGAUGGAUUGGAUUGCAAGGUACAUGUGCAUUGUCACUUGAAGAUUGAUCCAUGCCAAAUGAUAUCAGUCUGUUUAAGCCAUGCGCAGCGUAUGCAUUUCUCAUUAAAAAUGCAUGAAUUUUAGCUCUUUGGAAAGGUGAGAUCAAGAGGAACAAGUUUGAUGUUGAACACUUUUUCAUUUGGAGCUUGGAACUUGGAGAUAUUUGAGGUGGAAGUUUGAAAAAAUUUGACAUAUCAAAAUUUUUCUAAGUGUCAAGCCAUAUGUCUCAAUAUUCCACCUUACUUAACUUUUUAUAGGAGCUUCAAAUCAAAAAAGUGUCUUCAUAAAAGUUGUAUCUCUCUCAAAUACCUUUAAAAUGGUCACUAAUUUCAUGUCAUUUGGAUUGUAAAUGAUAGAGUUAUGCAUUUUUGAAGUUUGGAAAAAUCACUUGAUCAAUGGUAUAGGUCAAAAGUGACCUAUAAUGUAGCCUCAUAUCACAUGUUCAAAGAAGUUGAAUUAGAUCUUACUCCAAACAUCAAAGUUGAAGUAGACACAUUUAAUUUGAUUUUUAAACUUGGAAAUAUUUCAUAUCAUAAAAAUUGAGCAAGUUAUGGUCUUGGGAAGUUGACUUUCAAAUUAGGGUUUAGACAAAAUGACCUAUAAUGUUUCAACAUAGAAAAGGGAUUUUCAGAAAACUAGCUCUAGAUAUCAACAUGAAAGUUGUUUAUAAUGUCAUUUAGAGUAAGUUUUCUCUUGGAAUAAUUUUCAUAUUGUGAGAAUUGUAGGAGAUAGGUCUAGGGAGACCCAGUUUUGAUCAGAUGAAUUCAUCUGGCCAACCACCAUCAACCAACUUGCUAACUUCUAAUUAUCUUGACUUUAUUGGUCAUGGUAGAUCAUAUAUGCAUAAGAUGAUGAAAUUUGAAGUGUCCCUUGAGAAAUUUGAUCAAGUUGGUGAGAUAGCUUGUUGGAGAAGUUACUCAAGAUACCCAGUCAAACUAGGGUUUCCAAGGCAAAUCACCCUCAAACUCUUGAAGAAAACUUGAUCAAUAUAACAUGUAGAGAUCAUUAGGGCUCAUAUAUGAAAUUCAUAACCAUUAUUGAAUCAAUUCUUGGUUAUACCCUUGUUCAUGAGGGUCUCACACCCUAGAUGUGAUCUUGAUGAAUCGAUGAGAUCGUGCCCUUCCUACAAAAGAGUUAGAUAGAUACAAAGAUAUAUUUUUGGUACUUUGGUUAGUGAAAUGAUAAUAUAAAAGUAUGGUAUAAUCACAAGAUGCUUGGUGAUCUCUCCCAAAACAAACCCAAUGAAGAGGGGGUAAGGAGGAUACCAAGGUAUGAUCCCAAUGCUAGUGCAUAUGAUGGAAUUACAUGAGGGAUAUUAGGCCAAGAUGGGUUAGGUGUCCUAAGGUCCUCAGCUUUUCAUACCCAAUUAGAAAUAGUAAUGCCUAUCCAAAAAUACUUGUGUGACAUUUCCAAAUCCAAAGGAGUCUCCACUGAGCAGAUGGAUCUCAAGGCAACUUGUUAAGGACUACUCCACACAAGUCGAUGUACUGAUAUGGUAGGAGGAUAGAAUUAACGUGUCAAGUUCGGGUUAGAACUUAUCUCACCACUCAGAGAUCACCAAGCACAACAAGCAGAUUAUAUCACAUAUACAUAUAUACAAACAUCACAUACAUAAAAGCAGAUUAUAUCACACAUACAUAGGGGCAGCUGUAAGACCCCAAUUUUGAUCCUAAGACCCCUCAUGCAAUCCCAUCAUAAGCAUAAGCAUUGGGAUCACAUCUUGGCAUCCUCCUUACCCCUUUUCAUUGGGUUUGUUUUGGGAGAGAUCACCAAGAAUCUUUGUGAUUAUAUCAUACUUGUAUAUUAUCAUUUUACUAACUAAAAUACCAAAAAUAUAUCUUUGUAUCUAUCUAACUCUUUUGUAGGUAGGGCAUGAUCUCAAUGAUUCAUUGAUCACAUCUAGGGUUUAAGACCCUCAUGAACAAAGAGCACAACCAAGAACUGAUUCAAUAAUAGUUAUGAACAUCAUAUAUGAGUCCCAAUUGCUUCUACAUGUUAUAUUGAUCAAGUUUUCUUCAAGAGUUUGAGGGUGAUUUGUCUUGGAAACCCUAGUUUGACUGGGUAUCUUGAGUAACUUUUCCAACAAGCUAUCUCACCAAUUGAUCAAAUUUAUCAAGGGAAACUUCAAAAUUCAUCAUCUUAUGCAUAUAUGAUCUACCAUGAGCCAAUAAAGUCAAGAGAAUUGGAAAUUAGCAAGUUGGUUGAUGGUGGUCGGCCAGAUGAAUUCAUCUGAUCAAAACAGGGUCUCCCUAGACCCUAUCUUCAACAAUUUUCACCAUAUGAAAAUUAUCCCAAGAGUAAACUUACUCUAAAUGACAUUAAAAACAACUUUCAUGUUGACACCUAGAGCUAGUUUUGCUUGGAAAAUCAUUUUCUAUGUUAAAACAUUAUAGGUCAUUUUGUUUAAACCUAAUUUGAAAGUCAACUUCCCAAGGCCAUAACUUGCUCAUUUUUUAUGAGAUAAAAUAUUUACAAGUUUAAAAAUCCAAUUCAAUGUGUCUACUUCAACUUUUAUGUUUGGAUUGGGAGCUAAUUCAACUUUUUUGAGCAUGUGAUAUGAGGCUACAUUAUAGGUCACUUUUGACCUAUACCAUUGAUCAAGUGAUUUUUCCAAACUUCUUUCAACUUUUUUGAGCAUGUGAUAUGAGGCUACAUUAUAGGUCACUUUUGACCUAUACCAUUGAUCAAGUGAUUUUUCCAAACUUCAAAAAUGCAUAACUCUAUCAUUUAAAAUCCAAAUGACAUGAAACUGAUGACCAUUUUGAACGUCUUUGAGAGAUAUUCAACUUUGAUGAAGACACAUUUCUCAUUUGAAGCUCCCAUAAAAAGUUAAGCAAGGUGGAAUAUUGAGACAUAUGGCUUGACACUUCAAAUUUUUGAUUUGUCAAAUUUUUCCAAACUUCCACCUCAAAUAUCUCCAAGUUCCAAGCUCCAAAUGAAAAAGUGUUCAACAUUAAACUUGUUCCUCUUGACCUCACCUUUCCAAAGAGCUCAAAUUCGUUCAUUUUUGACUUGAAAUGCAUAGGUUGCGUAUGACUUAAAUAGACUGAUAUCAUUUGGCAUGGAUCCAACUUCAAGCAACAAUGCACAUGUGCCUUGCAAUCCAAUCAAUCUUCAAAGCAUCUGAAUUUCAAAUUUGGACUUUUAGCUAUCAUUCCAUGGGCCUAUGCGCGCCCAUGCAUCACUCCAUCAUCAUUUUGCCAAUUUUGGAAAGUGGAAGUGAGUGUGCAAAUAUCACAUGAUUUGGCUAUAAAUACAACUCCAUUUGCUCAUAAAUAAGACACAUUGUGCCAACUUUGAAUCUCCAUUGAAAACCCUUCGCUCUCAUAGGAUAACCCUAAUAAAUUCAUUUGAAUUUGAGCUUGAAUCUCCACUAUUUUGGAAUUCAAUUCUCCAGGAGUCCACUGCUUCUAAACCUUUCCAUUCCUCUCCUGCAAGAAAUUGAAGUGAAGCCAAGCACAAUUCAGAUCAAGAUCCAUCGUGUUCAUACCUCCAUUGAAGGUAAUUUGCAGAAAUUUUAAACUCUUCGAUUCUCUUAAAUUGUUGCUCAAUUCCAUUGAUUCUUUGAUUGUCUCAAGUCCUACCAAUGUAGGCAGGAAGAUUGAGUUACUUUGAGGCCAAAUCGAAGCAACUCAGUUCAUGUACCUCAUUUUUCAAUUCCACAUAUCUCUUAAUAUAUUUGGAAUUGGAGGAAUUGGAGGUUAGAUUCGACCUCAACGCCAUUUUCUCUUUAAGAUCAUGUCCCUGUUUCUUUUUUUGGUGAUGGUUCAUGAUGACCAGUCCGGUGAAGCUCACCGGAGAAGACAACCGGAGCUCUGGCUCCAGUGAUGAUGUGUCUUGUAUCUGAAGCACUUGGUCCAAGUCUCAUGUUCUAAUCUGGAUCGUUCCUUGUGAUUACUCCUUUUGUCACGCGGUUGACUCAGGUGUAUGUGGAGCGCGCGUUUUGGAUCAUCAGAUCUGCCACCUCAAUUAAUGAGGGAGAUCUGAUGGUCCACGUAAUUUAGCAUUUUCUGAAUUUUAUUUUUAUUCCCUUUUCUUCUAUAAUUCAUAUUAAAUUUAAUAUUGAUCCAAAAAAUAUGGGACUUUCACCAAAAAUCUUCAAAUAUUUUUCUCUUUCAUAUUCUGAAUUAAAAUUAUUUUUUGGAUCAUCAUUAAUAUUUUUUAUGAAUUAAUUGAUUUUGAAUUUGUUUUUAAUUGUUUAAAAAUAUUUGUAAGUGUCCAAAAAUUAUGAAUUUUUUCUCCAAUGUCCUCUGACCUUGUUUGACCUAUGAUAAAUCUCAUGACCAUUUCUUUGGUGUUUUGAUGAGAUUUUAGGAAUUGGACAAAACAUAUUUGAUUUUAAUGCAUUAUUUUAUUAUUUUUAAUUGAAUAAAUGCCAUUUUAAUUGUGUUGACCAUUUGUAUUGACUUAAUUGAGUUUGAUUGUUUGUUGUUGGGCCUUGGUCAAGGUUAAUUUGACUUUGUUAAGUUAAUAUCAUUGGAUUUAGGGGAUUGAUGGAAUGUACAUUCCAUCUCCCAAAAUAAAUGAAUGAUAUUAAUUUGGUAAAAGUGCUCCUUUGACCAAUCUGUGAUCUCAUUCAUCCCAUUCCCCUUCAUCUAAUUCCCCUUCUUCAUUCAUUCAUUUCCAUUUGACCAAUGACAUCUCAAAGUCCUAAUACUAGUUGAUUGAAAAAUUAACAUGAGUAUGGAUGAGAUUAGGCCACACCUUUUGCAUAUUUUUUGUGUGUGGUAUGUUUCAUGAGCAUAGUUCAUAAUACUAUGUCUUCAACAUGCAUUAACACCAAAAUUCUAUUGCUCGGUCUCAAAUAGUUGUGACUUCUACAUAAGUCCAAUUACGAUUGCUUAACAUAGCGUUGAAUUUGUGACAUAAAAGGCAUAAGCAUUCUAGUUAGUAAGAUUGUAAGUAUCCCCUCUUCCAUGGUAUUGUAUGGAAACUUGGCCUUCUUUCCUUCCUUUGGAAGAUGUUUUGGUUCAAGGAUCCAUGCUUGUGGCAAGUGGGUUGAGUGUUCUCCAAAGAAUGUCUUGAAAUUAAAAACAAAACAAAACAAACUACUAACUUACUAACUAUUAACUUUUAACUUCAAGUAUUUACUUUAAUGCAAUUUACUUUUAGUACUUUAUAUCAUUUGCCUUUAUACAUAUCAUUCUAAUUGUUUAUGUUAAUGUAAUUUCCACUUUGUCCAUUUAGACCAUAUUGUGUGAUAUUAUUUUGUUUGUGUUACUUUGGUUGUUUGUGUGGUCUUUGACCAUUAAUGUACAUAAUAACAACAAAAACCCUAAAAAACUUUUGAGUGGACUGUUGGCUUGAUCUGUGGACCAAUUGGACUUAGAAUUUAGGCAACAUUCCUUUGCUAAUGGACUUUGCCAAUGCCAACUUGUUGAAGAACCAAGUGCUUGCAAUUUGAACUUCAUAUGAUACAUCAUUCAAGAUCCCUCCAGUUCAUCUACAACAUGAUCAUUGUAAAGCUGUUAUUUUGAACUAGUGACUUGUGGAAUUCAUCUGUUACAUGGGCAAUUUCUGAAGAAGAUCAUGGAAUGGAUAAGAUUGGAUGAGGCCAUCUUUAUUUGAUGCCUUUGCUCUUCAAUAUUGAUAUAAUUGUGCAUUUGUGAGUCGCUUGAUUCUAAAAAGUCCAAUGGAAUUCUGGGUUUCUAUAGACAUACUUAUCUAUUGGAUUGCUACCCAUUUGGUCAGAUCUUUUCAACUUUAAACUCUUAAAUUUUGUGCAUAGGGUAGUCUCUUCAUCUUCUCCCCAUUUCUUUAAUUUCAAAGUCUCUUCCUCCAUUUUCAAAACCUUCUUUGUGUGAACUACUUUUGUUCUAAACUUUGACCACUUUUAAAAAGAAAGAAACUUUGGCCUUAUGCCAUUGCAUUUUCCAACUUAUUUUCUCAAAUCAAACUUGUAAAUAAACUUAACUAUACUUGACUUAAACUUUCAAAAAGCCAAAAAUAACUAACUCAUUCAAAUCAUUUUCAGGCCUUUGUGCCUUUCAAACUUAAAAUUUUGUUAAAAACCAACACACCCAUUUUGAAAUUUAUAGCACGAACUACGAGGUUUUGAUCCCUCAUUUUUAUGUUGGUACGUAGGCACAAGACCGAAGGUCUUGUCAAACACAAAAAUAUAAUUAAUUGAAUUCUUUUCAUCCCCCAUUCAUUUGUAUUACAAAUCACUUUGUACAAAAUACAUAUGCGCACACAAAAGUGGCCUCCCUAUGAGUACCUAGGAUUUACUGGCGCUAACACCUUUCCUCUGUGUAACCAACCCCCUUACCUGUGAUCUCUGAUUUUUAUUAGUUUUUAUUUGAAAACUUCUUACUUAUUGGGUUUUGUUCGUACUUUUCCCUUUUCCCUUGGAAACAAUAAAAGCGCGGUGGUGACUCUUGCUAAUUGAUCUCUAGCUUAUCAAUAACUUGAUGAUCAUGAAUUUCCCGUUACAGUAGGACUCUUGUCUAGUGUUGAGGAGGAUCACUCAGUAACAUAACUCUGAUAUUCAACAUUGUAGGACUUUGGUCUAGUGUUGAAGGACUUCAGUCUAGUGUUGCGAUUGAUUAUUGAUAAUGGUAGUAAGAGGUUCAGAUGGAAAUUGUUUGAUUUUUUUGUAGCAUCGUGCAUCUUGUAUAUAUGAGAUUAGCUUAGGACUUUAGCCUGGUGUUGUAGGAGUUUAGUCCAGUGUUAAGAAUCCCUCAGUAACAUAAGUCUGAUGUCCAACACUGUAUGACUUUAGUCUAGGGUUGUAGGAUGGUACCACAUGCAUGUGAUUAGAGUAUUUACGAAUAACAUAAUAAUUUGUAUAUUGUACAUUGCAUUGACUAAUUAUAUCGAUGUAAAAUAUUCUUGUUGUUUUAUGCAUCAUUAUCAUAUAUGAAUGUAUUCUCACCCAUUUCAUAUGAUAUAUUCUCUAUUGUUGUACUUGAUAUUGGGGAUCCCCAGAUUGAGGAUGAGGAGUGGUAGCUAUUGGUUACCGAGGAUGGCAUAGUUGGCCUUUUCGUUAGUUGUUUGUCUUUGUUUGCUGAAAUCUAUCGGUUGUUUAGUUGUAUAUGGUGUCGCUCUAAUAGUGUAACAUCAGUUUCAAAGUUUUGUGACGUUUUUUACUAAGAUGUGUUGAAUAAUUUACUUUUUUUUUAUGUUUUCUCAAAAUUAAGUGAUUUUAAAGACUAAGUUGCUAAUGUUAUUCUCUUUUUGAAUUAAAGUUCUGACUUUUGGAAAUUAAAGUUGAAGUUAUUAACGUGACACCCUGAUUGUUAUCUUCAUAUUUUCCGUAUUAUUCUAUAAAUAAAUAAGAGUUUUAGGGUGUUUUAGGUGACAUCUCAUAUUUCCUUAGUAUCAAAUUCUACACAAGUAAUAUAGGCUUGAUUAUGCUCCAAAGAAGAUAUGCAAGUCAGAUACUCUAAAGAUUUGAAAUAGGGGAUUGCAAUGCGACUUCGACACCAACUAAGCCGGGAUUGCAACUGACAAAGGAUCUAGAUGAAGAUGAAUACAAUCUAACUCAGUAUUUAAGACUCAUUAGAUCAUUAAUAUACCUUUGUCACACAAGGCAUGACCUAGCACACAAUGUAGGCAUGAUGAGUAGGUUCAUACAAAAGCCAAAUGUGCCUUAUCUUGCAGCCAUCAAGAAGAUACUAAGGUAUCUCACAGAAACACUAGAUUAUGGCAUUUUGUUCCCUACAACAGAUGAAGGAAAAGAAUGCAAACUAGUGGGAUACACUGACUCGAGUUUGUAAGGUUAUGUUGAGAAUAGAAAAUCCAUAGCUGAUUAUGUGUUUAUGCUAGGUGGUGCACCAGUUGCUUAUAGCUCAUGAAAAGAACCAAUUGUAGCUAUGUCAUCAUGUGAGACCGAGUGCAUAGUUUCCUCUCUUAGUGCAUGUCAAGCAACAUGGAUGGUAAAUCCGAUCGAAGAUAUUGUAGGUGAAAAUCAUGGAGCAAAGAUCAUGAAGAUUGAUAACAUGUCUGCUAUAAAUUUGUCCAAGAACCCGAUAUCACACGGAAGAAGACAACACAAUGAGAUGAGAUUCCAUUAUCUUAGAGAGGAAGUAUCAAAUGUGAAAAAUUGUUUCUCAAGGGAUAGAUGUUGGACACGGUGUUGGGACAACUGAUCCGACUUGUUAAAAUCAAUAAGACAAUAAUAUAACAGAAAUAGUAACACGAAUUGAGCAUUUCAAAAACAGAGAUCCAAGUAUAGUCAACCCAAAAAACCUGAAAAAAUCAUGUGAAACCUAAUUGGAAGAAAGUUAUGAAGGAAUAACGUACCUUGAAAGUUCUUCGAAAGUAUAAAUGUUAGAAUCUAUACAAAGAAAAAUGUAAGAAAGCGUAUGAAUAACAUGUUUACCUUUUAGAAGAAGAAGAAAAAGAAGAAGAAGAACAAGAACAAGAACAAGAAGAAGAAGAAGAAAAAAAAGAAGAAGACUAACAACAUCAAAGAUAAAGAAGAAACAAUGUUGAAUUUGAUUAUCUUUUAGUAUGAAGAAGAAGAAAUACGAGUUAUGUGGAAGAAGGAGAGACAAGUUCGCUGGAUGUGGAAGAGAGAGAGAUGUUAGGGUUUUUCAAUUUGAGCGAGACGACUGAAGUGUGAUAACUUCACUUAUAUAUAUGUAAAACUUAUCACCACCGUUGGUAAGAAAAACUGUCAUAAACUGUCAGUACUAUCCACAAUGAUUUCUGGUACUAACUAUGGUUAUAGAUAUUUUAAUUUUAAUAUAUUUGUAAGAGGAUAUGGACAAACCCUUUUUGUAACGGAAAAAAAUUGUUUGUGCUAGGGUUCUAAGCAUGUAACCUUUCAUCUAUAACCACGAUUGUUAUUAUGAACCGUAAAGAAAUGUAUUUUAAUAAAAUAUAAAAAAAUGCAGGCGCGUUAAGAUGAUUUCUUACUACGGUUGUCUAAAUAGCCUUAGUAAUAUGGUGUUACAAAAUGUAUAUUUUGUAGUAGUGUAUUUUCCCACAGUGGAUGCUACUUGUUGUAAAAUUGAAAGGUUCAAUCACACCACAAUAUUUUUGUUGGAAAAAUCUAACAAUAAGAUGAAUCAUGUUAUAAAUAUUGAUGUGUGGAACAAUGAACAAUGAAAAUCAAAAUAAAUAGCCUCAAGAAAAAAAAGUCAUCUGCCAAACAAUGAAGGCAAAUCCAUAAUAAACUAGAGAAAAUUAAAAUACUAGUAAGAAUAAUUCUUACUAAUAAAAAAUUUAAAUGCAUUAGGCAUUUCAUUAUACUUAACAAAAAUUUAAAUAAUACAAUAAUAUUAAAUAUUGUUAAUAGAAUAUAACAAAAGCCAAUAUCAAGUGGAUCAUAUAUAAACCAUUCCACUUCUUGAUAACUGUGAAUUCUGUAACUAACAGCAAUCAAGUAGAAUGCCAAUAUAUUUCAUUUUUUUUCUAAUCAACUUCGUGGAAUCUAGGACAAGAAUAUACAAAAUACUGAAAUAACACUCUAAGGGAUUAAGCACAUAGCAGUAUUGGCCAGAUCCCUCUAAACUUUUCUUGUCUUUUCUGCAAAAUGUUCUUGUCCAUAAUUCAAACAUAAAGCUCACACAUGCCAGCAUAGAUGUAUUGAGACGCAUGCAAGAUUAACACCAAAUAACUAUCUUCUCUUUUCUGCAAAAUGUUUUUGUCCAUAAUUUAAAUUUAUUUACUUCAAGAAAAGCCCUUACAAUGCUAAUGUGUAAGGUCUAAGGGGUCAAAGAAAAAAUAUCUUUAAUUGUUCCUUACCUAUCUUUUUGCAUGUCAAUGGUGUGAAGUGGAUGUUUGAUCAUAUGAUCUAUGUAUUUCAUGGUUCCUUCUAGUGUAGUAGCAAUGAAGGAUUUUAAUAUUGAUGGAUCAGUUUUAGACCACUGCAAGGCUCAUAUGUUCUUUCUACAUGCUCUUUUUAUCUCGAGCGCAUGUUUAAACAAUUGUAAAGAAUGUGACCUACACACGUUGAAUAUUGUUAACUUCAACAUACAUUUCAUACUUUCUACACACAUAGGAAAAUUAAUUUGCUUGAGUUUAUGCCAAAAACUAAUAAAAUAGGGUAAAUAUAAAAAGCAUAAUAAUGCAUAAUGAAAUUAAAAGAGAAUUGUUAUUUCAACAAACAGAAAAUGCUACAAGGUGUUUUUUACUAUAAAAACUCAAUUCGUCAACUAUCACUCCUUGAGUGACCAAACAUAACAUAUAAUAUUAUUAAAAAAAAAAAGAGCUGAAACAGUCAAAUGGAAGAGGGAGAAGAAACUCACACUUUAUUUCUGAGUUUGAGAUUGAUCAAUGUAUAGAGGGACAAAAUCUAGGUAUUUAGGACUUCCGAAUCGACCAAUAUGAAUUAAGAUCUAAUCACACACCAAUUAAUAUGUUAAAGAAAUCAAGGAUUAGAAAAAUAAAGUUAUUCCUUUCGAUCUAUUGACAUGGUAGACAUAGAGGUUGAGAAAGAUGGUAAUGCCGAAGAGGGAACGAGAUAGGUGGUGGGAUAAAUGAUCAUUAUUAAUUGAAAAUGUAAAGUUAAUUUCAAUUGUCGAUAUACCAUUCAUUUUCUUAUUAUUCUUAUUGUUAUAUAUAUAUAUAUAUAUAUAUAUAUUAUAUAUAUAUAUAUAUAUUAGUUAUAUAUUAUAGAUAAAAUUUAAUAUAUGUUAUGUAUAUAUAUAUAUAAUAUAUAAUAUAAUUAUAUUAAAGCGAAAGUAAUUGUAAAAAACAAUUUAUAAAGAAAUUGAAGAGAGUGGAGAAAAAUUAAAAAGUUAAAACUUUGCUGAAAAUGGUUAUUUAUGGUCGUUUGGUUCAUUCAAAUAAAAAAUAUAUUUAUUUUGAAAUUAUAAGUCAUGUUACAUUUUAUAUUAAAUAAAUCUCUCUCUCUUCUCUCUCUCUCUCUCAUUCUCUUACUCUCUCUCCUCUCUCGCCUCUCUCUCUCUCUCUCUCUACUCUCUCUCUCUCUCUCUCUCUCUCUCUUCUCUCUCUCAUUCUCUCUCUCUCUCUCUCUUCACUUCUCUUCUCUCUCUUUCUCCUCUCUCUCUCUUCUGCUCUCUCUCUCUCUCUCUUCUCUCUCUCUCUCUCUCUUCUCUUCUCCUUUUCUCUUCUCUCUCUCUUCUCUCUCCUCUCUCUCUCUCUCUCUCUCUCUCUCUCUUUGUGGUUUGUGUUGUGUAUAUUUAUAUAUUAUAUAGCUAAGAGUGAAAAAAUUUGAUGUAAAUGUUUAAACAACGAAAGGAUUUAAAAACACUCAAUAAAGAAAUUUCGGAAAUAGAGAAUUUUUUAAAAUAUUUUAUUCAGUGAUCGAAAUAUCACUUCACUAAUAUUUUAUAUUAAUUAAUAAAUAUAUGAUUAGAGGUAUACAUGUCCGAUUAUAAUAUUUUGGUGCUAGUUCCGAUAUAGUGUAUCACCAAAUUUUCAACCUAUAAAUUUUGUUUAGUAGUGUAUAUGCUUUGAAAGGUUUUUCAAGAGUUUAAAAUUCAAUUUUAAGAAAAUAGUCUUCUAAAUUUUCAAGAACAUCCCGUAUUUUCUAUUGAAGUGUUUCUCAAUAUCUUCAAUUCUCUGUAUAUGAAUCUCACAAAUGAAGGUGUUUAAAAAUGUUUCAUAAUCCCCUUAAACAUCUUCAAAGAUUUUCCAAAUUCUAAAAUUAUACUCCAAGAAGAUGCAAAACAAGGGAAAAAUCUGACCCAUCAGCAAAUAAACCUAUUUGCAAACCGAGCUGAACCGAUCCAAAAACAUGUCGCGUCGUCGCAAACCCCCACCCCGGCCGCUAGGGCAGGCCACCACUGCUACUUGCAAGUAACACAAUCCCAACUUUGACGUCAACGAAUUUCGUUAGUAUAUACUCCCUCUGUCCCAAAAUAAGUGUUGCAUCUUAUACAAUUAUUUAUUUCAAAAUAAGUGUUACUUUUAGUUUCCAAUGCAAUUCUAAUUUUUAUCUUCUAAAUAUUCUCUCUAAUAAUUUUCUCACUUUGUAUUUAUGAUAAUUCAAAUACCACCACUAAAAAAUCAAAUUUAAAGAGGGUAGAUUUUCGUCAGAAAUUCAUGGAUAUUCCGUCACAAAAUAAUUUAGUGUCGGAUUUAGAAAUGUGCAUAAAUCCGUAACAAAUUUCAAUGUCGCAAAAUUCAGUGAGGGAAUUUAUAUUCCAUCACAAAUGGGUAUGAAAUAAAUCUAUCACUAAUUCUAUCUUAUAUUUCCAUCACUAAUUAAUGACAGAAUAAUAGACCCCUCUCUAAUUAGAAGGGAAUUGUUCCAUCACAAAGUUGAGACAAUAAUCUACUUCCCUCUCAAAAUUAGAAAAUAUCACCAAUAUAUUGGCAUAAUCUAUACAUCACUAUAUUACAUAUCAUAAAUAUUUCACUGGUUUUUUUCAUGAUUUAACAAAAUUAAACCAUCAGUGUAUGAAACUUUUUUAAAUAUAAUAAAUAUUCAUCAUAAAAUUACAUUUCAAUAUGGGUGGUGAUGUCGAAGUAUAGAUAAGAUACGAUCGUUUAGGGUAACCUGCAUCAAAUUUUUGUAGAGUUUAAUGUAAACAAAUUAAAUUAUACUCUAAAAAAAACUAAGGUAAUAGGUUAAUUACUAGUCUUCCAUGAACUUGAAAACGGAAAACUAUAUUUAAUUUUGUCAUUCUAAAUUAUAUUUUUAGACUUCCAAAUCCUAAUUUCCUCUGUCUAAGAGUUUCAUAAUAAAACUAACAUUAAACCAUAUUAUGUGUUAGUAUGGGUUGCAGGAAGAAAACAAACUCACUUCAGUUUAAACAAAUUAACCCUGCAACUAAUACUAACACAUGGCAAUUGCAACCACCAUGCCAAAUAUUUAACAACCACCUCAGAUGUCACUGUCAAAUAUUUAGCAUCCACACUAAUGCCAUCUAAUUUAAAUUCUUUCUUAUCACAUGUAAAAAAAGAUUAUAGAAGAAUUACAAAGUAUACUACGUAUCUUCCGAGACACAAUAAGAAACAAAAUCAAAUGUCUAGAAAUAUUCAAAUAAAUUUAUAGCCACUCUGCAAUGCAUGAAAAAUAAAUUGAGCACAAGGUCGGUACACAAUAUACAUGUUUCAAUUCUAUAUAGUUUCAUUAUGUAGCCUCCUGAAUAAACCAUUUAUGUAUCUCCCACUCUAACAUAGAACAUCACAACUCCAAUAACCUUAAUAAUUAAUCCUAACAAAACAUUACGGUAAAGAAAAAUCACUCCCUUUAGAAAUAAGAAAUUCCAUAUUUUUUGCCAACCUCCAUGUAAUUUGUGCAAUAACAUUGAUAAUUCUGAAUUCACCAUGUUUGCUAAGUCUAUCAUACUUUGACUAGAAAUUUCUUCCCAUCUAUAUAUCUUAAAAAUAUAAAAAAAAAACAAAUUAAACCUUUAAAAGAGGAAUUAUAUAAAUGACUAUAACUAUAAUUAGGUAAAAGUAUCUUAGCAUGACUAAUUGCCUAAUUACUCAAAUUGACAUGUUCAAAACUAAUACUUUUCCAUCAAAUCCAACCUGAUCUUUAUCCUUCAUCCUCUCUCUUAAGAGAAUCAUAUAAAUUCUACGACCAAAUAAAACACUCUUCACUUGAAACCUCUUUAGCGAAUCCAACACCAUGUUUGGCUCGAAAGAAAAAAAACAGAAAAAAAUAAUUAAAAACAAUUUCAAAGUAUUUAACCAAACAAACAUGAGUCGUCAACCUAGCUUCAUAUUCACCAAGAGUAAUAGUUUUAGAAUUCUAAGAUUUUGCAAAAAAAAAGCAUCCUUUCAACAUAAUUUGUAGUUUCAUCCAAAAUAUUAUACAAUUGAAGCACAUAAUUAACAAUAAAAGCCUUAUUUUAUUUUAAAAGCUAGACUCCAUAAACUACUGGAUUUUACUAAACCCUAGAAGUUACCAGAAGCAAAAAUUGAAGAAACAUGUGAAAUUCCCAGAUCUGUAACAUGUGCACUAUACAUUCUUACACAACUAGGUUUACCAGAAGAAUGAGUUACAAAUGGUUGAAAUAGUGUAUCCCACUUGAUCCCUUGAACAAUUCCAAAAUCAAACUGUGUGAAUAUUGUUAGGGUUUUAUGAGAAAGUUAAUUGCUUCCCAUGUAGUUGAAGAAGUAGAAGAAAUUGAAGAAGCAAUUUGUUAAUGUAGCAACAAUUGAGUUUGUUUUCGCGAGCAACUAUGGUGGCAACAAUAGAGAUGGAUAAAAAUAGAAAGAAAAAAAGCGAAGAAAAGGAAUAUACCGUAUAGAAAUAGGAAUUAGGGUUAACAAGUGAGAGAGCAAAAAUUAAUUUAACAAAAUUUUUGGGAACAUUUAACUUCAAAAUUUUAAGAGUGAGCAGCAGAAGAAAAACAGGAAAAAGGUAAACCUAAUUUUAUCUAAAUUUUUUGUUUUUUAUUUAUUAAAUUUUAGGAAAAUCAUUUUAUAUAAAAAAAAUUAUGACAUAAAUAUAUGGCUUCUUUCAUUUAAAAAUAUUUUCUUUCAAUUUGAAAAACAUAAAUACUAGAAUUAAUAUUUAUAUUUAUGAACAUAAAUAUCAAAACUAAUAUUAAUAAAAGUUGACAAUUCCUAAAAUAAAUUAUAUUUUCUCUUUAUUAAAUAUCAUUAUUAAUUAAAAUAUUUGACUACCAUUUUAAUUUUAAUAAACAUUUAAGCUACAAUAUCAUUAAAAGAUAUUAUCUUCAAUUUUUAUAUAUAAAAAAAUGUUAGAGAGGAAACAUUUCCCUCACAAAAUUCAUUACAAUGACAUCUUGCACAUUUACAAUGGAAUUUGUUAAAGAUAGAUAAAAUUCAUCUCAAAGCUCUUCACAAAAUUUAUUUUAAUCAUAUUUUUAGGAAGUUUGAGAGGGAUUACUUGUGACAGAAUAUUUCCAGCACAUAUGUCAUCACUAAUAUUCAUCCAUUUAAUUUUUUUUUACGUGUAGAGUUUUCCAUCACUAAAUUCAUCCGAAUUAAUGAGGGAUUUAAUUUUGUGUCUGACUUACGUCACUAAAUUCCACUUUUUAGUAGUGUACACCAAUAAUAAAAAAGAGUAGUUAGGUAAAAAUAAUAUUCUCUCUUUCAUUUAUUAUAUUUUUAAAAUUUUUGUGAAAUAAUCAACUAUGAUAAUUAUUUUGGGACGGAGUGAGUACCAUGGACUAUGUCUAGUUUCUUAACUGUUAUUGGACUUAAAAAAUAUUUAAAUUCUUUUAGGAACACUUUACAAAUUCAUUUGUUAUUGGACACAGAUAACAUUUAAAAAAUUUAAUUCACAAUUUUAACAAUUAUAAAAUUGUCACUAGUAUUAGUUAGCAUGUGUAGAUAAAUGAUAGAACGAUAUAGGUGUGAUAAAACAUAAUAAUUAUUAAUAUUAAAUUAUUUGACUACUAUUUUAGUUUUAAUAAACAUUUAAGCUACAAUAUCAUUAAAAGAUAUUAUCUUCAAUUUUUAUAUAUAAAAAAAAUGUUAGAGAGGAAACAUUUCCCUCACAAAAUUCAUUACAAUGACAUCUUGCACAUUUUUGAUGGAAUUUGUGAGGAAAAUGUUAAAGAUAGAUAAAAUUCAUCUCAAAGCUCUUCACAAAAUUUACUUUUAUCAUAUUUUUAGGGAGUUUGUGAGGGAUUAUUUGUGACAGAAUAUUUUCAUAACAAAUUUCAUCGCUAAUGUUCAUCCAUUUAAUUUUUUUUAUUUGUAGUAAAAAUACUAUUCUCUCUCUUCCAUUUAUUAUAUUUUUUUUAACUUUGUGAAAUGAUCAACUAUGACAAUUAUUUUGGGACGGAGUGAGUAUCAUGGUUUUGACUGUGUCUGAUUUCUUAACUGUUCUUGGACUUAAAAACAUUUAAAUUUUUUUAGGAACACAUUUACAAACCCAUUGGUUAUUGGACAUAGAUAACAUUUACAAAUUUUAAUUCACAAUUUUAACAAUUAUAAAAUUGUCAUUAGUAUUAGUUAUCAUGUGUAGAUAAAUGAUAGAACGAUAUUGGUGUGAUAAAACAUAAUAAUUACUAAUAUUAAAUUAAUAUUAGUUUUAAAUGUUUUUAUUAAAAAAUAAUUGUAUGUUUAUCCUUAUUACUCCAUCUUCUCUUUACUAAUAAUGCCUUGAGAAUAUUGAAAUAUUUGGACAUGACAAAUAUAACCGUUUUAAUAAUUUAUCAUCUUUGUGAUGGAGAAUUAUGUAACUAUAUUUUUUUUAAUUGAGGAUUGUAAUAAAAGUAGAUUAUAAUAUAUAUUAUAAUUGUUUUUAUUUUUUAAUAUAUAAAUAAAGUAUAGUAAUAUGUAAGUAAACGGAUAAAUAAUAGAUAAAUAAUUAAAUGACAUAUAUCUACAAUUACAUUUUAUAUAUUAAGUAUAGUAUAGUAUAAUAUAAAGUAGACGGAUAAAUAGAUAGAUAAUUAAAUGACGUAUAUGUACAAUUACAUUUUUCACAUGACAAGUACAAACUAUGCACUUCUAAGUGCAAGUUUAUGGAGUUAUUUGCAUGUCUUAGAGCUGGAGCUUGUGUUGUAGGAUACAACACUUUGUUAAAAUUCUCUAGUCAAUUCAUUAAUUCAUAUACACAUGGCCGAAGACAAUAAUAAAGCAUCUCCUUUUCCAUAAGAAUGUCCAAAUCAUCAAAUUCAAACAAAACUCCACACACCCAAGUAAUGUUCUUUUCAUUUUGCCACUUCAAUUUGUACAUUUUAACACACGCCAUAUGCAUGGCACAACAUGGCCAACUGUUGGUGCAUGUUAAUUAUAUAGUUUUAUUUUUUAUAUCUAUAAAUACACUCAUCUCCACUGUACUUUAUUCAUCCAGAGCGACCAAAGUGAGAUAUUAGUUUCAAUCAACAUGCUGCUACUACAAUGAAAGCUUCAUUUCCACUUUGAUGCUAAUGGGAAUUUUCUUUCCUAGCAUCAGUGUGUGUUUCUUCUAGGUCUGAUCCUCAAUCCUUUUAUCUUCAAGUCUAACAAGUUUCAAACUCUUUUGAGAAAUGAAAUGGGCACAUUCGACUUCUGCAGAAAUUUGACCAACGUUCUAAAAUUUGUCGAGAAUCUACAAAACUACCGUCUUUUGGAAUAUAAGUCCAAACCUCACACAAUAUUUCUUCCGCAGCACACCGAUGCCGAUUACAUCCUUGUUGUACUCAGUGGUAAUUUAUUAUUUAUCAAGUUGAAUAUUUAAAACUAAUCACUCAUAGUUCAUUCAAAAAGAACGGUAUUUAUUAUUUUGAGGAGUGCUAGUAACACUCUCUCAAACACUCACUUUUUAUUGGUUGAAACAUGUGUGGACCCCUCGCUUUGGAAAUAGGUCCCACAUAAAGUGGUAAGACCCACACAUAUUUCAACUAAUGAAAGAGUGUGUGUUUGAGAGAUUGUUGAAAAAAGAGUAUUAUUAGCAUUUCUCUUAUUACUUUACAUAUUUGUUUUGUAAGGAUAAGUUAAAUUCAGUUAUAAAAUCUAAUGUCAUUGUAAUUUCCAGGAAAAGCUAUACUCACAGUGUUGAAACCCGAUGAUAGAAACUCCUUUAACCUUGAGCGCGAAGAUACGAUAAAACUUCCUGCUGGCACAAUUGCUUAUUUGGUUAACAGAGAUGACAACGAGGAGCUUAGAGUAUUAGAUCUCGCCAUUCCUGUAAAUAGACCUGGCCAACUUCAGGUAAUAUAACCAAUGUUUACCUAUUCUCAUAUCAAAUAUGGUAUGCAUUCUAAUGUAUAAACAAAUUUAGGGGCCUCUACCAUAACAUCACAACAAAAAUUGCGACUGUACAUAUUUUUUUGUAAUGUUUUCCUAAUAUUUUCUUUAUUUUUUUGUCCUUUUCAUCAGUCUUUCUUAUUGUCUGGAAAUCAAAACCAACAAUCCUACUUAUCUGGGUUUAGUAAGAACAUUCUAGAGGCUUCCUUCAAUGUAAGUAUAAAACACACAAUUUUUUUUCAUUUUUGUAUGUAUUAGUUUGGUAUUGUAUAUGUUAAUACUCACUUUGUCAAUGUAUGUAUUGUAAAAAAAUAUAGACUGAUUAUGAAGAGAUAGAAAAGGUUCUUUUAGAAGAGCAUGAGAAAGAGACACAACACAGAAGAAGCCUUAAGGAUAAGAGACAGCAAAGUCAAGAAGAGAAUGUAAUAGUAAAAUUAUCAAGGGGACAAAUUGAGGAAUUGAGUAAAAAUGCAAAGUCUACCUCCAAAAAAAGUGUUUCCUCUGAAUCUGAACCAUUCAACUUGAGAAGUCGCGCUCCUAUCUAUUCCAACGAGUUUGGAAAGUUCUUUGAAAUCACCCCAGAGAAAAAUCCACAGCUUCAAGACUUGGAUAUAUUUGUCAAUUCUGUAGAGAUUAAGGAGGUAUGAUAAAAUUAUUUUAUAAUAUAGGAAAUUCACCAAAUUACACAAUGAGAUUUCACUUGAUCAAAUUAGAAUUGUUCUAAAUGAUUUGAUUUUUGUCCUUUGAAGUUAUAAUGUCAAACUUUUGUUACUAACUUGACAUCUCAUACACAACAAGUUUUACAUACUCAAUAACAUUUUUUAUUUAUAGAACAUAUAUCUAAUGUAUUUAUUUAAUUAUUCUUUCAAAUUAAAUAUUAGGGAUCUAUAUUGUUGCCACACUACAAUUCAAGGGCCAUAGUAAUAGUAACAGUUAACGAAGGAAAAGGAGAUUUUGAACUUGUGGGUCAAAGAAAUGAAAACCAACAAGAGCAGAGAAAAGAAGUUGACGAGGAAGAAGAACAAGGAGAAGAGGAGAUAAAUAAACAAGUGCAAAAUUACAAAGCUAAAUUGUCUUCAGGAGAUGUUUUUGUGAUUCCAGCAGGCCAUCCAGUUGCCGUAAAAGCUUCCUCAAAUCUUGAUUUGCUUGGGUUUGGUAUUAAUGCUGAGAACAAUCAGAGGAACUUUCUUGCAGGUAUAUUAAAUCUUGAUUUGCUUGGGUUUGGUAUUAAUGCUGAGAACAAUCAGAGGAACUUUCUUGCAGGUAUAUUAUAUUAUCACCCAGUCUCUGUCACUAUUUAUUCAUUUUAAGUGUGUAUUUUAAAAGUCAACUUCUAUUUAAAUCAAGGGGAAAAUAUUAAGAUAUGCUUAUUAUUUUGGUGAUUGAAAAUUUGAAGGCGAUGAGGAUAAUGUGAUUAGUCAGAUACAGCGACCAGUGAAAGAGCUUGCAUUCCCUGGAUCAGCUCAAGAGGUUGAUAGGAUACUAGAGAAUCAGAAACAAUCUCACUUUACAGAUGCUCAACCUCAACAAAGGGAGAGAGGAAGUCGUGAAACAAGAGAUCGUCUAUCUUCAGUUUGAAAUGCUUCUUAAUGAGUGGACAAAAUACUAUGUAUGUAUGCUAUCAAGAGAUAUAUCUCACAGGGAGCAAUGAAUAAAACAAUUUUAUCUUAUAACUAUAAUUAUAUCUCCACUUUUCUACUAUGAAUAAAUAAAUCAAGAGUAUUUUGGUGUUCCUCUUAGAUAUUAUAUUAUUUUAAGAAAUUCAAUAACUAAAAGUAUAAAACACUCAUUAAAUUUAAACUAAUGUAAAGACUCAAUAUCUCAUAUCCAUGAUUCAUGAUAUACAAUCAUCAAUCAAUUAAUAGAAUUCAAAAGAAUAAAUUUGGGGUUUCUCUUGUAAGUUAGCAACAUUUAUACUUGGGGUUGGGGUACUAGAGAAAUUGGUCAAAAUAAAGAAAAAUAAAAAUAAAAUCUAGGUGUUAAGAAUGACUUCUUCAAAAAAUUUGUUAAAAAGAAAAAGGAAUGCAAGCUAGUGGGAUACACUGACUCAUGUUGGUAUGGUGAUGCUGAUGAUAGAAAAUGUGUUUAUGCUAUGUGGUGCACCAGUUGCUUAGAGCUCAUGAAAAGAACCAGUUGUAGCUCUGUCAUCAUGUGAUACUGAUUACAUAGUUGCCUUUCUUUGUGCAUGUCAAGCAACAUGAAUGGUAAAUUUGAUCGAAGAGAUUAUAGGUCAAAAUCAUGAAGCAGUAAUCAUGAAGAUUGAUAACAUUUCUGCUAUAAAUUUGUCCAAGAACCCAAUAUGAUACGGAAGAAGAAAACACAAUGAGAUGAGGUUCCAUUAUCUUAGAGAGAAAGUAUCAAAUAUGAAAUUUGGUUUCUCAUAGGACAGAUGUUGGACACGGUGUUGGGACAAUUGAUCCAACUUGUUAAAACCAUUAAGACAGUAAUAUAAUAGAAACAGUAACACGAAUUGAGAAUUUCAAAAACAGAGAUCCAAGUAUAUCCAACUUGUUAAAACCAUUAAGACAGUAAUAUAAUAGAAACAGUAACACGAAUUGAGAAUUUCAAAAACAGAGAUCCAAGUAUAAAAAAAUACGAAAAAAUCAUGUGAAACCUAAAUGGAAGAAAGCGUAUGAAUAACUAGGGAUGGAGCCAGGAAUUCUAAAUAGUGUGGCCAAAUUUAUAAAUUUAUUAUGAGAAAAGUAUAAUAUAUUAUUUAUAAAGAAAUAUUAUUUUUUUUUAAAAAUUUUUUUAAUGAUUUAAAAUUAUUAAUGGUUUCUUAAUUUUCUACUUAUAAUUAUAUAACAUAUUUUAUCCUCACCAAUCAAUUGAUAGUUCAUAGAUUAUUAAUUUUUCUUUAAUCUAAAAAUAUAGAAUUAAAAAGAUAAGAUAAUAAUAUCCAGACUAUUAAAGUUUUUUAUCAAAAAUAGUAGAGACUAUUUUGGACUAAAAUUUGAAAUGAACUAAGUAUUUAAUGCAAUAUACACCAUCAUUACUAUUACCACAUGAGUAGUAUAUUAUAAUGAAAUUUUUAUUUAUAGUGGGGCAUAGACCUACAUAGUUGUGUAUGUAGCUCCGUCUCUCUGAAUAACAUGUUUAUCUUUUAGAAAAAGAAGAAAAAAACAACGUUUAAAUACUUAGAUAAAGAAGAAACAACGUUUAAUUUGAUUACCUUUUAGGACAAAGAAGAAGAAAGACGAGUUGUAUGGAAGAAGAAGAGAGACGAUUUCGCAGGAUGUGGAAGAGAGAGAGAGAGAGAUAUUAGGGUUUUGUAAUUUGAGCGAGAGGACUGAAAUUUGAAAACUUUGCUUAUAUAUAUAUAAAACUUAUCACCGUCGUUGGCAAGAAAAACCGUGAUAAACUGUCAGUACUAUCCACAAUGGUUUCUGGUACUAACCAGGGUGAUAGAUAUUUUAAUUUUAAUAUAUUUAUAAGACCAUAUGGACAAACUCUUUUUGUAACGAUAAGAAAAUUGUUUGUGCUGGGAUUCGAAGCAUGUAACCUUUCAUCUAUAACCACGGUUGCUAUUAUGAACCAUGAAGAAAUGUCUUUUAAUAAAAUAUAAAAAAAAAAUUAGGUGCGUUAAGAUAAGUUAUUAUAACGGUUGCUUAAACGGCCUUGGUAAUAUGGUGGAAAGAAAGGUAUAUUUUGUAGUUGUGUAUUUUCCCACGGUGGAUGCUACUUGUUGUAAAAUUGAAAGGUUCAAUCACACCAUGAUUUUUUGUUGAAAAAAUCUAACAAUAAUAUUAAUAACGUGAUAAAUAUUGAUGUGUGGGACAAAGAACAAUGAAAAAUAAAAAUAAAUAUCCUCAAAAAAAAAAAUCACCUGCCAAACAAUGAAGGAAAAUCCACAAUAAACAAGAGAAAAUUAAAAUACUAGUAAAAAUAAUUCGUCCUAAUAAUUUUUUUUAAUGCAUUAGGCAUUUCAUUAUACUUAACAAAAAUUUAAAUAGCACAAUAAUAUUAAAUAUUGUUAAUAGAAUAUAAAAAAAGCCAAUAUCACAUGGAUCAUAUAUAAACCAUUCCACUUCUUCAUAACAGUGAAUUUUUUUUAACUAACAAUAGAUAAGUAGAAUGCCAAUAUAUUUCACUUUUUUUCUAAUCAACUUCACGGAAUCCAGGACAAUGAUAUUCAAAAUACUGAAAUAAGACUCAAAGGGAUUGGGCACCUAGAAGUAUUGGCCAUAUUCCUCUAAACUUUUCUUCUCUUUUCUGCAAAAUGAUUUUGUCCACAAUUAAAACAUAAAUAUCACACAUGCCAUGUAUUGAGACGCAUGCAGGAUUAACACCAAACAACUACUCAAAAGGAUGCUAAAGUCUACAAAAACUACACUUAAUUUCUCAAAUGGUGAUGUAACCUAAUAACACUUUGCAAGCUAUAAUAUAAAGAAUGUGACCUGCACAUAUAACUCAUACUUGCUAAUAAAAUAGGGUAAAUAAAAAAGGCAUAAUAAUGCAUAAUGAAAUUGAAAGAGAAUUGUUACUUCAAUAAACAGAAAAUGCUAAAUGGUGUUUCUUACUGCAAAAACUCAAUUCGUCAACUAUUAUUCCUUGAGCGACCAAACAUAACUGUAAGACCCUAAUUUUGACCCUAAGAUCCCUCAUGGCAUCAUAUCAUUGCACAUUGCAUUUUCCUCAAGGAUCAUAGCAUCUUGGCUCCUUAACCCUAGGGUUGGGACUUAUGUGAGUUGGUUAGAGACCACCAAGCAUGCUUGCAUUGUAUAUUAUUGCUUUUCUCAUUUUGUUUACUAACCAAAAGGUGUUUUUAUACAAUGAUUGAAACAAUCAAAACAUCGAACUCGUUAGUACUGAUUCAAGGCUCCUAGGAGGCCCCUAUGCUCAAAGAAUGGCCAGAUGAAGUUGAAAGCAAGCAUGAAAAUGGUUCAAAAAGCUCUCAAUCAUCAUACAUGCCUCCCAAGUAUCUCAAUUUGUCAAUUUGAUCAAGAUAAACCAAAUAGCUUGAGGAUUGUUUCCCAAGGAAACCCUAAUUCAACUGUGCAUUGACUGUGCCUUGCUCAUGAAGCAACCUCAACCCAUGAUCAAAUACAAUAAAGGUAAGCUCUUUCAUUCAUCAUUUUAUGCAUAUAUGAACUCAUGUGAGUGUCUUCAAUCAUCCAUUCAUCAAGAUUUGAAGUUUGGACUUGAGAAGUUGAUCGGUCAAUUCAUCGACUAUUUUGAAAUCCACUAAGACCUAACUUUUGAUGUGUUUGUCAAAUGAAGAUGACCCCAAGAUAAAAUAUGUUUUUAAGGACCAUAUGAACAACUUUAAUGUUCAUCAAAAAUUGAUUUGAAACUUGGAAGGUCAUCAUUCAUUUCAAAACAUUAUAGGUCAUUUUGACUGAAAUCCUAAUUUUGGGUCAACUUCCCAAGGACCUAACUCACUCAUUUUUAAUGCUUUUUAGGUGGGAUCAAAUGCAUUAGAAACUUUAAGAUGUCUAAUUCAAUUGUUAUGUUGGACAAAUUUUCAUAAUCCUAAAAUAAACACAUGUGAUAAUGCAAAACAUUAUAGGUCACUUUGGACCAAAGUCAUUGAAAUGUAAAAAAGUCCAACAUUAAGUGCCCAUAACUUUCUCAUAAAAAAUCCAAAUGAUGCAAACUUUAAGUCCAAAUUGAUUGUCUUGAAAAUAUAUACAACUUUAAUGUUUAAGGUUUUGUCAUUUGAGGCUUGCAUCAUUGAAACAUAAGGGCUUGAAGUUGGUCCAUUUUGGCAAAAUUCACAUACACAUGUUUUGCACCUUGAACUUCAUGAUCAGUUUUCAUAAAUUUCCCAACUCCAAAUUGAUUUUUGUUCAAAUAACAUUUGUUCCUCAUGUCAAUACCUUUCCAACCAUUACCCACAUGGCUAUGUUUCAAUUUGGCAAAGUGCAUUUUCGAAGAGGAGAAGAUUUAUGUUCAUUUAUGGAAACAAUGUUAAUACUUAGUGCGCACUCCAUUGCAAUGCCAUGUACACAUCCAAAACACUCCAAUUACACUUCAACUUGCAUUUGCCAUCAAGUUUGGGCCUCCCAUGCGCCUGUACAGGCCCAUGCAUGGAGGCCCUUAUUCCACAUGCACACGAGUUUGCCAUUGCUUGCAUCAGCUUUCACUAUAAAUACAGAUGCUUGGCUUCAUUCAAUUCCAACCUUAAGUUGCUUGCAUCAGCUUUCACUAUAAAUACAGAUGCUUGGCUUCAUUCAAUUCCAACCUUAAGGCGCCUAACACUCUGUAGAAUUGAAAUCCUACCCUUCACUCAAAGGAAUUUUGAAUUUUCUUCUUCAAUUUUUCAGUUCAAUUUUCAACUUCCUUGGUUGAUCAUUGAGCUUCAAUUCUUAAGCCUAGCUACUUUGCCAUCUCAAGAUCACAUUGCAUCAAAGAAUUGGAAGAGAUCGUGCCUUGUAAAGUUGCACUUCAAAGGUUGUUGUUCAAACUUUUUUGAUUCGAAACUCCCUGGAUAUUGCUCAUUUCUUGUGUUUGUUGGUUCCUCUGAAGUCCUCAUAUGAGAGGCAAUUGAUCUGUGCAUUCAAUUUCAUGAAUUGAUCAAGUUCGGUUUGAACACCAUGAAUUUCUAUCUCAGAUUUCUCCUUCUAUGAGAGUCUAGAGUAGAAACCAAUGGCACAAGGGUGAUGUACAUCACCCCAGCUUUCCAAUGAUUUGAGGAUCGUGCGUUUUGGUGAGGUUUUUAAAACCUGCAACUCUUGCCGGAGCUGGCUUGCUCGCCGGAGAAGACGGUGGUGUACACCACCGUCCCCCAUGCCAGAUUGCAUAUAGACCAUUGAAUGUUGUUUCUAGAUUGAAUCACAACCAUGCAAUGUUUCCAGAAGACGGUGAGGUUUUUGUGCAAACAUUAACAUUGUUUUCAAAAUUAGAAACCUAAGCACUAUGCUUUUGAUUUUUCAAACUCUUUUCAUAACACUUAUUUUGAAUUGAAUCCUUAAGUCAACUUUGACCUUACUUUGUGAAUACUUUUCAUUUGUAAAUACAACUCACUUAAUUGUUUUGUGCCUUCAAUGGCCACUUUUGCCAAAGCUUUUCAUAAACAUUAGCUAUUAGGUUUGAGUUAUCCUAGAGGUUGAUAUAAUACUCACCUAUAUCCUUAGUGAUGGAUUAUAAGUCUUCCAUGCUUAUUAUAGGGUUAACCCCUCACUAGCAUGUUGAAGCUCUCCUCACAUGGUGGAUUUGUGGUUUUAGGUUGAGUUUUCUCCCUUUGAUAACAAAAGACCUUAAGGCUUUUGACCAAUCAAUUCACCAACUUAUUUUGAGAUUUUUACCCCGAACUACGAGGUUUUGAUCCUACCUUUGUGAUGGUACGUAGGCAAUGGGUUUAUCCAUUCAAACAACAAAAUUGUAAAUAAUUUGUAUAUUCUUUUCUCAUCUCCCCAAUCAUGUUUGCACAAAUAUUUUCACAAAUACCAACCUACCUUACAACAUUUGUAAAAAGGGCUCCCUUAGAGUACUAAGGAUGUUUUGGGUGCUUAAAACCUUCCCAUUGCAUAACCAACCCCCUUACCCAGAUCUCUGACAUUUUUAUUAGUUUUUGAUUUGAUAAAACUUCUCGGUUUUUGUUCGCUUUCUAACCUUUCCUUUGGAUAAAUAGAAGUGCGGUGGCGACUCGAAUUGUAUGAUUUACUUUUGAUUUAGUCAAUAAAUAUAAAGGUAACGAAUACCCCGCUACAGAAAAGUGGCGACUCUGCUGGGGAUUUUUGCCUAGUGGGUUUUGCCUACUUUUCACUUUUGUUGUAUUGUAUUGUAUAUUACUUGUGACAUAUUUUUGUGCAAAUUUGGGAUUACUGUAUUGUAUGUAAUGUAUGAAUUGCUUAAAUAUUAAUUGCUUGUGUGCUUGGUGAUCUCUUGUGAGAUGAGUUCUAUACCCGAACUCGAGUGCACUUAUGAUAGGAGAAUGGCAUAGUCUUGUUGGCUUGUGUGGAGUUAUUCCUUACAAAGUUGACUUGCAAGCCCAUUCACUUGGUGGAGGUUAUGUUGGGAUCAAUAAUGUCACACGAGUAGUCGUGGUUAGACAUUACCCUUUCCAAUAUAUGCCUUAGAAGCCAAGGACCUUAGUUUACCAAACCCAUCUUGGCCUAUUUUUAGGAUGUAGUGCGAAGGUCGUUCAAGUGUAAGAUUUGAUAUGAUUGUUACGCAAUACUACACUCAUAAGAGUCUCUCUUGAGAAUAUUUUUGGAAUACGAGUAGUCGUUUAUCCGAUAGUAUCCGAAAGAUGGGAUGAUGACUAUGGGAACCUCUUGUAGAACAUGAUUGUCAGGUUUAACCAUAGUACACUCCCUUUGGGUGGUUCUUAACCNNNNNNNNNNNNNNNNNNNNNNNNNNNNNNNNNNNNNNNNNNNNNNNNNNNNNNNNNNNNNNNNNNNNNNNNNNNNNNNNNNNNNNNNNNNNNNNNNNNNNNNNNNNNNNNNNNNNNNNNNNNNNNNNNNNNNNNNNNNNNNNNNNNNNNNNNNNNNNNNNNNNNNNNNNNNNNNNNNNNNNNNNNNNNNNNNNNNNNNNNNNNNNNNNNNNNNNNNNNNNNNNNNNNNNNNNNNNNNNNNNNNNNNNNNNNNNNNNNNNNNNNNNNNNNNNNNNNNNNNNNNNNNNNNNNNNNNNNNNNNNNNNNNNNNNNNNNNNNNNNNNNNNNNNNNNNNNNNNNNNNNNNNNNNNNNNNNNNNNNNNNNNNNNNNNNNNNNNNNNNNNNNNNNNNNNNNNNNNNNNNNNNNNNNNNNNNNNNNNNNNNNNNNNNNNNNNNNNNNNNNNNNNNNNNNNNNNNNNNNNNNNNNNNNNNNNNNNNNNNNNNNNNNNNNNNNNNNNNNNNNNNNNNNNNNNNNNNNNNNNNNNNNNNNNNNNNNNNNNNNNNNNNNNNNNNNNNNNNNNNNNNNNNNNNNNNNNNNNNNNNNNNNNNNNNNNNNNNNNNNNNNNNNNNNNNNNNNNNNNNNNNNNNNNNNNNNNNNNNNNNNNNNNNNNNNNNNNNNNNNNNNNNNNNNNNNNNNNNNNNNNNNNNNNNNNNNNNNNNNNNNNNNNNNNNNNNNNNNNNNNNNNNNNNNNNNNNNNNNNNNNNNNNNNNNNNNNNNNNNNNNNNNNNNNNNNNNNNNNNNNNNNNNNNNNNNNNNNNNNNNNNNNNNNNNNNNNNNNNNNNNNNNNNNNNNNNNNNNNNNNNNNNNNNNNNNNNNNNNNNNNNNNNNNNNNNNNNNNNNNNNNNNNNNNNNNNNNNNNNNNNNNNNNNNNNNNNNNNNNNNNNNNNNNNNNNNNNNNNNNNNNNNNNNNNNNNNNNNNNNNNNNNNNNNNNNNNNNNNNNNNNNNNNNNNNNNNNNNNNNNNNNNNNNNNNNNNNNNNNNNNNNNNNNNNNNNNNNNNNNNNNNNNNNNNNNNNNNNNNNNNNNNNNNNNNNNNNNNNNNNNNNNNNNNNNNNNNNNNNNNNNNNNNNNNNNNNNNNNNNNNNNNNNNNNNNNNNNNNNNNNNNNNNNNNNNNNNNNNNNNNNNNNNNNNNNNNNNNNNNNNNNNNNNNNNNNNNNNNNNNNNNNNNNNNNNNNNNNNNNNNNNNNNNNNNNNNNNNNNNNNNNNNNNNNNNNNNNNNNNNNNNNNNNNNNNNNNNNNNNNNNNNNNNNNNNNNNNNNNNNNNNNNNNNNNNNNNNNNNNNNNNNNNNNNNNNNNNNNNNNNNNNNNNNNNNNNNNNNNNNNNNNNNNNNNNNNNNNNNNNNNNNNNNNNNNNNNNNNNNNNNNNNNNNNNNNNNNNNNNNNNNNNNNNNNNNNNNNNNNNNNNNNNNNNNNNNNNNNNNNNNNNNNNNNNNNNNGCUAUUAGGAUUUUCUCUACUCUUAAUCCCGUUCCUACUCUGUUGGGUGACACUUACUUUUCUUUGCAUAUGAGGAAUGCAAACGGUGGUGGUACCAUUCUGUGUUGUUUGCCUCUGUUGUACAAGUGGUUUAUUUCGCACUUGCCACAGACGCUCGCCUUCAAGGAGAACAAAGGAUGUCUACGGUGGUCCACGAGACUUAUAUCUCUCACUAAUGAUGAUAUAACCGUGUAUAUGAUGGUGUGCAGAUUAUUGACUCUUGUGGUGAAUUCUCCAAUGUGCCUCUUCUUGGUACAUGUGGUGGGAUUAACUAAAACCCUAUUUUGGCACGUCGUCAGCUUGGUUUCCCCUUAAAGGACAAACCUAAUAACAUUUUGUUAGAGGGUGUGUUCUUUCAAGAGGGUAAAGAUCCUCAAAACUUGAAGGGCAUGAUGGUCCGCGCUUGGCGCAAGAUUCAUAGGAAGGGAAGGAAAUAGCUUGGUCUGAAGAAUUGUAUUACUUUGGAACCCUAUACCUCGUGGGUUAGGAGGAGAGCUUCUGAGUACCGCAUGCCUUAUGACUACCCAAGACCUACACCUAUGGUUAUGGCUGGGCCUUCAACCCUCCCUAACCAAGGAGUAGAGGAGUUGAGAGAUGAAGAUCAUUCGCGUGCUUGGGUCCGUGAGCGAGAGGAGCUACUUCAGUAGCUUAGAGAUAAGGAUGCGUUGAUAGAGUUUCUGGAGCAGCAGAUUAUCGACGAGCCUGAUGAUGUGGUGACUUCUCUUAUUCCUCAGUCUUCCAGGUUUUGGAAGAGGAAGUAUGACCGGCUUACCAAGGAGAAGGCAGAUAUGGAGGCAGCCUAUGAGAGAGAGGUGAAGAGGCUUCGUGCAACUUAUCUUCCGGUCUCGAGAGCUUUGGACGAUUGUUUCUAGGGUUCCAUAGGAUGUUCAUUUUCCUUCUCUCUUGUAUUGUAUUUGGUUACCAAGACUGUACUUCUUUGGUGUAAAUUUUUUCCAGAUAUUAUUGAUAUGAUUUUUCCAUAUAUGUCUAAAUGAUUAAUAUUUCCAAAUAUUCGCAAAUAGAGCUCUAAAAGUUCCUCUGAUAAAAAAUUCAAAUCAUAUGCACAAGCAUUGCAUGCAUCAUGUGCAUAAGCAAGUUUUGUUCAAGGGCUUCUUGUUCAGUGGUCUAACUCUGUGUUCUUCAUUUAUUUUGAAGACAAGCUGACGCACCGGUACUACACCAGAGCCAAUACAUCAAAGCUAAUGGAUCACCUAGAGCAAGAGAACAGAGAACUGAAGGAGGAAGUGGCAAGAUUCACUGCCCUGAUGGAGUCCUUCUUGGCCGCCCAAAGCCAGUCUUCUCCAACACCUUCAACUCCUCCCUAGAGGACGGUCAUUUCUGAGAUCGCUGCCUCUACCGUGCCUGCUGCCAGUGCCCAUUUUGCGCCUACUGCUAUGCCAGCCAGGUUUCCCUGGGGGAUGCCUCCCAACUUUGUUCCAAAGGGUCUCGCCCCAACUUUUGCUUCUCCGCCGGCAUCUAGCCCGGUCCUUACUGUGCCACCUCCAGUCGUGCAUACUUUGCCGAGAGUAGAUGACACCAUUUACCACUCUGAGCCAUCUGAGGACCCAGAUGUCUAUGAGAAAAUGGACGCUAUGAAUGAUCAAUUCCUUGAGCUGCGCAAGGAACUCAAAAAUCUCAGAGGGAAUGACCUCUUUGGCAAAUCUGUUGCUGAGCUUUGUCUCGUACCUAAUGUCAAGAUUCCUGUCAAAUUCAAAGUGCCUGACUUUGAAAAGUACAAAGGACACACUUGUCCGCUCAGCCAUCUUGUGAUGUAUGCACACAAGAUAUCAACUCAGACCGACAAUGAUCAACUCCUUAUCCAUUACUUCCAGGACAGCCUGUCUGGUGCCGCUUUGAGAUGGUACAUGGGUUUGGACAACGCAAACAUCCGCUCCUUCAACGACCUUGGCAAAGCCUUUGUCAAGCAAUACAAAUACAACGUUGAUAUGGAUCCCGAUAGGGACCAACUGAGGGCCAUGUCCCAGAAGGAGAAAUAAACUUUUAAGGAGUAUGCCCAGAAGUGGCGAGAAUUGGCUGCACAGAUUGUGCCUCCGCUAGAAGAGAAGGAGAUGACCAAGAUCUUUUUGAAGACCUUGAGUUCAUUUUAUUAUGAGCGGAUGAUUGCUAGCGCUCCUUCUGAUUUCAUCGAGAUGGUGAACAUGGGGAUGCAUCUAGAUGAAGGAGUCAGGGAAGGGCGCCUGACCAGAGAAGAAGUCUCUUCUGCCAAAUGUUAUGGGGCAUUUGCGAAGAAGAAAGAUGGUGAGGCACAUGUUGUGUCCUCCCAUGGCAAAUCAAGAAGACCCUUUGUGAAGAGGAAGACUGUGCGUCCAGCCAGUAACCAGCACCAGGUGGCUCAUAUAGCACCUGCAUUCAGAGAAAACCAGCAUUCUCAGCAUCAGAACCAGCAACAACAACAUCAACAGUAUCAGCAACAACAGUAUCGUCCUCAACAGUAGGCCUACCAGCCUCGAAACAACAAUCAAACCAGCACGAGCUAUGAUAGGAAGAGGGUCAAUUUCGAUCCUAUUCCAAUGACCUAUGCGAGCUUUAUCCUUCAUUAAUUGAAAGGAAGUUGAUUACUCCACGUGACCCACCUGAUAUACCUACCAACCCUCAGUGGUGGUAUAAGCUUGAGCUUCAUUGUGUUUAUCAUUCCGGCGCUCCCGGACAUGAUGUGGAGAACUGUUACCCUCUCAAGACCAAGGUUCAAGACCUUGUUAGAAGUGGUAUCUUGUUUUUCGAGGACGUAGGUACUAACGUCAAGAAGAACCCAUUGCCCGAGCAUGGGAAAUCUGUUGUUAAUAUGGUUCAGCGUUGCCCUGGCAAAUACAAGGUCCAAUAUGUCAGCCAUAUCCGACAAUCUCUGGUCGAGAUGCAUAGACUGUUAUGUGGAUACAGUCACUACGAGCAUGACCAUAACAGUUGCCGUGUUUGCACUGUCAAUGAGAGAGGAUGUCGUCGAGUCAGAAAAGACAUCCAAGAAAUGCUGGAUCAGGGUGUAAUUGAGAUACUUCAGAAUCGUGAUGAGGACGAAGUGAAUGUGAUAUCACCUAUAUUCAGGAUACCUGACCCUGUUGUUGUCAGAUAUGAUGGCAGCAAGCAGAAGGCUUCUCCCUCUCUGAUUAUUAAGCCAGCUGGCCCUGUUCCGUACUCUUUCGAAAAAGUUGUUCCCUAUCGUUAUAAUGCGGUUGAAUUGGAAGAUGGGAAGGAGGUGCCUAUACCCUCCACUUCUAUUGUGAAUAUUGCUGAUGUCAGUGGAUUGACCCGCAGUGGUCGUGUUUUCUCGGCGCCGCCGAAACCCCAGGCUAACACCAGAAGAGUUGAUACUGUUGAUAGUGUCGUUCGUCCUUUGGGGAAUUAUUCUGUUUCUACGAAUCCGGCACUUGUUGUUAACAGACCUGUCGUUGCUGCUAGAACUCCUAUCCCUGCUGGCCAGAAUGGUAUGAUGAAAGAGGAGUGUGAUGAGAUGAUGAGGCUCAUCAAGAGGAGUGAGUACAAUGUUGUAGAUCAGCUGCUAUGAACGCCUUCAAAGAUAUUUGUGUUGUCUUUGUUAAUGAACUUUGAGCCACACCGUGAAGCUUUGCAGAAGGUGUUGGACAUGGCGUACGUAGAUCAUGAUGUCACCAUAGAACAAUUUGAUAGCAUUGUUGCAAACAUUACUGCUUAUAACAACCUGAGCUUCUGUGAUGCUGAUCUUCCCGAGGAGGGAAAGAACCACAAUUUGGCACUUCACAUCUCUAUGAAUUGCAAGGACGAUGCCUUAUCUAACGUGCUGGUAGACACUGGAUCAUCGCUGAAUAUGUUGCCAAAAUCCACUUUGGCCAAACUUUCAUAUCAGGGGCCUCCCAUGAGGCAAAGUGGAGUGGUCGUGAAAGCUUCUGAUGGAUCCCACAAGACUGUGAUUGGCGAGGUUGAGCUCCCAAUCAUGAUUGGACCUAGUGAUUUCCAGAUCACUUUUCAGGUCAUGGAUAUCCACCCAUCAUAUAGCUUCUUGUUAGGCAGACCAUGGAUUCACGAGGCAGGCGCCGUGACAUCCACUCUACACCAAAAGUUGAAGUUCGUUAAGAACAAAAAGUUGGUGGUGGUAGGGGGAGAGAAGGCUCUCUUGGUUAGCCAUUUGUCUUCCUUUUCUUAUAUUGAUGUCGAGGAUGAGGUUGGGAUGUCGCUCCAAGCCUUGUCUAUUGUUGAGCCUUCUAAGAAAGGAACUUCUUCAUUUGCGUCCUACAAUAAUGCGAAGUUAGCCAUUGAACAUGGCACAACUACUGGUUUAGGACAAAUGAUUAAGCUGGAAGACAAUAAAUCUCGGGCUGGCAUAGGGUAUUCUUCAGGAACUUUCAACAAGCACGGUCUAUUUCAGAGUGGUGGUUUCAUCUACACGGUUGAAAACCAGGAAGCUGCUGCUAUUAUGGAAGAGGAUGCAGAGGAAGAUUCUGGCGACUUUGUCAUCCCUGGAGGAGUCUGCAAUAAUUGGGUCGCUGUUGAUGUUCCAACAGUUAUCCAUAAGUCCACGUAAUGUUCAUUUUUGUUUAAAAACCCUUCUCCCAUGCCAAAAGGAGAAGUGAUGACAUUGUUGGCCCAUAAAUACAAUGAUAUUCAUUCAAUAAAUUCAUGUUAAAUGUUUGUUUUUCCAAAUUAUUUUCACUUUUUACUUUUUGCAUGAAAUUGGUGAUCACCAAAAAACCCUAAAAAAAUAAAAUAAAAUCAAUCUUUUCAUCUGCAUAAUGAUUUGCUUUGUUUGAAUUCUAAAAUCUCUUUUAUAUCCAAAAUCAUUAUGCAGGUUGAUCAAACCCAUUGAACAUAUUGAUCCAACACCAUCUCCCAACUUUGAGUUCCCUGUAUUUGAGGCCGAAGAAGAUGAUGUUGAAGAGAUUCCUGAUGAGAUUACCCGUCUGCUUGAGCAUGAAGAGAAGAUCAUUCAGUCGCAUCUUGAGAAUCUGGAAACAGUCAACUUGGGGUCUGAGGAUUGUGUUCGUGAGGUGAAGAUUAGGGCACUCCUGGAAGAAUCUGUUAAGAAGGGAUUGAUUGAGUUGCUACGAGAAUAUGUCGACGUCUUUGCCUGGUCAUAUGAAGAUAUGUCUGGUCUAGAUACUGAUAUCGUGCAACAUUUCCUGCCUUUGAAGCCUGAGUGUAUGCCUGUGAAGCAGAAGCUCAGAAGAACUCAUCCUGAUAUGGCAGUGAAGAUUAAAGAAGAAGUUCAAGAAAAGCAAAAUUGAUGCGGGGUUUCUGGUGACUUCUACAUAUCCUCAAUGGGUUGGCCAAUAUUGUGCCCGUGCCUAAGAAAGAUGGAAAAGUCCGAAUGUGUGUGGACUAUAGAGACUUGAAUAAAGCUAGUCCGGAAGAUGAUUUUCCUCUACCACAUAUUGAUAUGUUGGUAGAUACAGCUAAAUUCAAUGUCUUCUCAUUUAUGGACUGAGGAUUUUCCGGAUAUAAUCAGAUCAAAAUGGCACCCGAGGAUAUGGAGAAGACAACAUUCAUCACACCUUGGGGAACAUUCUGUUAUCGAGUGAUGCCCUUCGGUUUGAAGAACGCCGGAGCCACGUAUCAACGAGCUAUGACUACCUUGUUUCAUGAUAUGAUGCACAAGGAGAUCGAGGUGUAUGUUGAUGAUAUGAUUAUGAAGUCGAAAACGGAAGUUGGACAUGUAGAGCACUUGUUAAAGCUUUUUCAGCGCCUGAGGAAGUAUAAGCUUCGUUAGAAUUCGAACAAGUGUACAUUUGGAGUCCGUUUCGGCAAAUUAUUGGGUUUUAUUGUCAGUGAAAGAGGUAUUGAAGUUGAUCCUGUCAAGGUCAGAGCAAUACAAGAGAUGCUUGCGCCCAAAACUGAGAAGCAAGUCUGAGGUUUUCUUGGCCGCUUGAAUUAUAUUUCCAAAUUUAUAUUUCACAUGACUGCCACAUGUGCGCGAAUAUUCAAGCUCCUCCGGAAAGAUCAGCGUCAUGGUUGGACCGAGGAUUGCCAAAAGGCCUUUGAUAGUAUCAAAGAGUAUCUGUCCGAGCCUCUGAUUCUGUCUCCGCCUGUGGAAGGGAGACCCUUGAUUAUGUAUCUGACUGUUCUUGAAGACUCUAUGGGUUGUGUAUUGGGUCAGCAAGAUGAAUGAGGGAAGAAGAAGUAUGUCAUUUACUAUCUGAGUAAGAAGUUAACUAAUUGUGAGUCUCGAUACUCAAUGCUUGAGAAAACUAGCUGUGCUUUGGCUUGGGCUGCUAAGCGCUUACGCCAGUAUAUGUUGAAUCAUACGACUUGGUUGAUAUCCAAAAUGGAUCCAAUCAAGUAUAUCUUUGAGAAGCCUGCUUUAACUAGGAGGAUUGCCCUGAAUCAUACGACUUGGUUGAUAUCCAAAAUGGAUCCAAUCAAGUAUAUCUUUGAGAAGCCUGCUUUAACUAGGAGGAUUGCCCGUUGGCAGAUGCUGUUGUCUGAGUAUGAUAUUGAGUAUCGAGCUUAGAAAGAUAUUUAAGGUAGUAUCUUGACUGAUCACUUGGCACAUCAACCAAUUGAGGAUUAUCAGUUAGUUCAGUAUGACUUCCCAAAUAAGGAGAUUCUGUAUUUGAAGAUGAAAUAUUGCGAUGAGCCUAUGCUCGAUGAAGGGCCAGAGCCUGGUUCUCGAUGGAGUAUGGCGUUUGAUGGCGCUGUAAAUCAGUAUGGAAAUGGUAUUGGGGCAGUGAUUAUUACUCCUCAGGGCACACAUUUUCCUUUUACAUCAAGGCUAACUUUCAAAUGCACGAAUAAUAUGGCAGAGUAUGAGGCCUGUAUUAUGGGAUUGGAAGAAUGUAUUGAUCUUAGGAUCAAACAUCUUGAUGUUUAUGGUGAUUCGGCCUUGUUGUUAAUCAGAUUAAGGGUGAAUGGGAGACGAAUCAGCCAGGCCUCAUCCCAUAUAGAGAUUAUGCGAGGAGGAUUUCAACUUUCUUUACUGAGGUUGACUUCCAUAAUAUUCCUCAAGAUGAGAAUCGGAUGGCAAAUGCGCUUGCUUCGAUGAUUGUGGUGAAAUUCUAGAAUGAAGUCCCCAAUAUCACUGUGAUGUGCUUGGAUAGACCAACUCAUGUAUUUGCAGUUGAAGAAGUAAAAGAUGAUAAGCCAUGGUAUUGUGAUAUCAAAUGUUUUCUUUAGAGUCAGAUUUACCCGCCUAGGGCAUCUGUUAAAGAUAAGAAGACUUUGAGGAGAUUGUCUGGAAGUUUCUACCUCAAUGGCGAUAUGCUUUAUAAGAGAAAUUUUGACAUGGUUCUGCUCAGAUGCGUGGAUAGACACGAAGCAGACCUGUUGAUGACUGAAGUCCAUGACGGUUCAUUUGGUACUCAUUCCAAUGGACAUGCCAUGGCUAAGAAGAUGUUAAGAGCAUGCUACUAUUGGCUGACAAUGGAGUCUGACUGCUGCAAGUAUGUAAAGAAAUGCCAUAAGUGUCAGAUUUAUGCGGAUAAGAUUCAUAUUCCCCUGAUACUUCUGAAUGUGAUUUCAUCACCAUGGCCUUUCUCUAUGUGGGAAAUUGACCUGAUUGGCAUGAUAGAGCCAAGAGCGUCCAACAGUCACAAAUUUAUUCUCGUAGCAAUUGAUUACUUCACCAAAUGGGUUGAAGCGACAUCGUAUGAAAACGUGACCAGGCAGGUGUUUGUGAAGUUUAUCAAGAAUCAAAUCAUAUGUCGUUAUGGUGUGCCAAAUAAGAUCAUUACUGAUAAUGGAUCUAACUUGAACAGCAAGAUGAUGAAAGAGCUGUGUAGUGAGUUCAAGAUUGCACAUUAUAAUUCUUCUCCUUAUAGACCCAAGAUGAAUGGGGUUGUUGAAGCUGCUAACAAGAACAUUAAGAAGGUUAUUUAGAAGAUGGUUGUUACGCACAAAGAUUGGCAUGAGAUGCUGCCAUUUGCUUUGCGUGGUUAGACAUUACUCUUUCCAAUAUAUGCCUUAGAAGCCAAGCACCUAAGUUUACCAAACCCAUCUUGGCCUAUUUUUAGGAUGUAGUGCGAAAGUCGUUCAAGUGUAAGAUUUGAUAUGAUUGUUACGCGAUACUACACUCAUAAGAGUCUCUCUUGAGAAUAUUUUUGGAAUACGAGUAGUCGUUUAUCCGAUAAUAUCCUAAGAUGGGAUGAUGACUAUGGAACUCCUUGUAGAACAUGAUUGUCAGGUUUAACCGUAGUACACUCCCUUUGGGUGGUUCUUAACCGAGACUCCAUGCUCGUGACUUGCAACAAACCCUUGAUUCAUGGUUGAUCCGUUCUUGUAUAUCCUUAAUAUCAGUGGAACUUGGGUGUUGAUAAGGUGUAAACCAUAAUCCACUAAAAUGGAUGAUUGAUAUUAAGGAUGACUUGGUCCAUCCCAUGACCUUUGUGUGGUGUGUUUUGCUUGAUCCUUGAGUGUGAUUGUUGCAUCCAUGCAUUCAUGCAUUCAUAUACAUCCAUAUCAUCAACAAUGAGAAAAUUUUCAAAGAACUUAAAAGGUCUAUUUGCAAAUUUUCAGACAUGGAUAAGCAAAGAAGGAAUACAGGGAAGUACAGUUUCAGACAACCCGACUUGAAAGAGUUAAGGAGUUUGACAUCCUAUGUAUUAGAUCCUUUGGAGUUCAAGGCUCGUCAUGCGAAGCUUCUGUCUAUUCUUGCUACUCAUGUGGAUGAAGGUCUGAUGAGUGUGUUGGUGCAGUUCUAUGAUCCCUUGUAUCGUUGCUUCACAUUUCCGGAUUUCCAGCUUUUGCCUUCGCUUGAGGAGUAUGCCUAUCUUGUGGGUAUACCUAUCUUAGAUCAUUUGUCGUUCAGUGGCUUGGAGAGAGUUCCUUCUUCUCAAAGAUUGCUGAUCUGUUGCAUAUAGAUGAAUUGUUGUUGGUGCUCAUAUGACCACCAAGAAUUCAAGGUCUCCCAUCUGAUUUCCUCAUUUCUCAAGCUACUAUGUUUGGGAAGGCCAUGAGUGAGGAUGCCUUUGAGGCCAUAUUUGUACUUCUCAUCAAUGGGCUAGUGUUAUUCCCCAACAUUGACAAUUUUGUGGAUGUGAACGCUAUUAGGAUUUUCUCUACUCUUAAUCCCGUUCCUACUCUGUUGGGUGACACUUACUUUUCUUGGCAUAUGAGGAAUGCAAAGGGUGGUGGUACCAUUGUGUGCUAUUUGCCUCUGUUGUACAAGUGGUUUAUUUCGCACUUGCCACAAACGCUCGCCUUCAAGGAGAACAAAGGAUGUCUACGGUGAUCCACGAGACUUAUGUCUCUCACUAAUGAUGAUAUAACCGUGUAUAUGAUAGUGUGCAGAUUAUUGACUCUUGUGGUGAAUUCUCCAAUGUGCCUCUUCUUGGUACAUGUGGUGGGAUUAACUAAAACCCUAUUUUGGCACCUCGUCAGCUUGGUUUCCCCUUAAAGGACAAACCUGAUAACAUUUUGUUAGAGGGUGUGUUAUUUCAAGAGGGUAAAGAUCCUCAAAACUUGAAGGGCAAGAUGGUCCGUGCUUGGCGCAAGAUUCAUAGGAAGGGAAGGAAAGAGCUUAGUCCGAAGAAUUGUAUUACUUUGGAACCCUAUACCUCGUGGGUUAGGAGGAGAGAUUCUGAGUACCGCAUGCCCUAUGACUACCCGAGACCUACACAUAUGGUUAUGGAUGGGCCUUCAACCCUCCCUAACCAAGGAGUAGAGGAGUUGAGAGAUGAAGACCAUUCGCGUGCUUGGGUCCGUGAGCGAGAGGAGCUACUUCAGCAGCUUAGAGAUAAGGAUGCGUUGAUAGAGUUUCUGGAGCAUCAGAUUAUCGACGAGCCUGAUGAUGUGGUGACUUCUCUUCUUCCUCAGUCUUCCAGGUUUUGGAAGAGGAAGUAUGACCGGCUUGCCAAGGAGAAGGCAGAUAUGGAGGCAGCCUAUGAGAGAGAGGUGAAGAGGCUUCGUGCAGCUUAUCUUCCGGUCUCGAGAGCUUUGGACGAUUGUUUCUAGGGUUCCAUAGGAUGUUCAUUUUUGAGGCAGCCUAUGAGAGAGAGGUGAAGAGGCUUCGUGCAGCUUAUCUUCCGGUCUCGAGAGCUUUGGACGAUUGUUUCUAGGGUUCCAUAGGAUGUUCAUUUUCCUUCUCUCUUGUAUUGUAUUUUGUUACCAAGACUGUACUUCUUGGGUGUAAAACUUUUCCAGAUAUUAUUGAUAUGAUUUUUCCAUAUAUGUCUAAAUGAUUAAUAUUUCCAAAUAUUUUCAAAUAGAGCUCUAAAAGUUCCUCUGAUAAAAAUUUCAAAUCAUAUGCACAAGCAUUGCAUGCAUCAUGUGCAUAAGCAAGUUUUAUUCCAGGGCUUCUUGUUCAGUGGUCUAACUCUGUGUUCUUCAUUUAUUUUGAAGACAAGCGUACGCACCUGUACUACACCAGAGCCAAUACAUCAAAGUUAAUGGAUCACCUAGAGCAAGAGAACAGAGAACUGAAGGAGGAAGUGGCAAGAUUGACUGCCCUGAUGGAGUCCUUCUUGGCCACCCAAAGCCAGUCUUCUCCAACACCUUCAACUCCUCCCCAUAGGACGGUCAUUUCUGAGAUCGCUGCCUCUACCGUGCCUGCUGCCAGGGCCCAUUUUGCGCCUACUGCUAUGCCAACCAGGUUUCCCUGGGGGAUGCCUCCCAACUUUGUUCCAGAGGGUCUCGCCCCAACUUUUGCUUCUCCGCCAGCAUCUAGCCCGGUCCUUACUGUGCCACCUCCAGUCGUGCAUACUUUGGCGAGAGUAGAUGACGCCAUUUACCACUCUGAGCCAUCUGAGGGCCCAGAUGUCUAUGAGAAAAUGGACGCUAUGAAUGAUCAAUUCCUUGAGCUGCGCAAGGAACUCAAAAAUCUCAGAGGGAAGGACCUCUUUGGCAAAUCUGUUGCUGAGCUUUGUCUCAUACCUAAUGUCAAGAUUCCUGUCAAAUUCAAAGUGCCUGACUUUGAAAAGUACAAAGGAAACACUUGUCCGCUCAGCCAUCUUGUGAUGUAUGCACACAAGAUGUCAACUCAGUCCGACAAUGAUCAACUCCUAAUCCAUUACUUCUAGGACAGCCUAUCCGGUGCCUCUUUGAGAUGGUACAUGGGUUUGGACAGCGCAAACAACCGCUCCUUCAACGACCUUAGAAAAGCCUUCGUCAAGCAAUACAAAUACAACAUUGAUAUGGCUCCCGAUAGGGACCAACUGAGGGCCAUGUCCCAAAAGGAGAAAGAAACUUUUAAGGAAUACGCUCAGAGGUGGGGAGAAUUGGCUGCACAGAUUAUGCCUCCGCUAGAAGAGAAGGAGAUGACCAAGAUCUUUCUGAAGACCUUGAGUUCAUUUUAUUAUGAGCGAAUGAUUGCUAGCGCUCCUUCUGAUUUCAUCGAGAUGGUGAACAUGGGUGUAGCACCUCAAGUUUGCACCUACAUUUUGUACAUACAUUUUCGUCAUUAGUUCAUUAACAUAACAUAGUCCACUGCAUAACAUUGCAUUGUCCUUUGCCCAAGUGCAAGAUCAUUAGUCAGGUUAGGUCAAACUGGUCAGGAGAUCAGUCAAUCAAGCAAGCAAGGGCAAUUUUCAUUGAGCCAAGGCCCUAGGGUUGGUCCAACAUGUUCACAUGACCUAGGGGUCCUUUUGAAGUGUUUUGGUCAAGGAUUGGAUGCUCAGAAGUCAUCAGUCAUGGCUCAGUUCACCAGAAACCCUAAAAAGUCAACUGUUGGUCAACUGUGCAUUUAAUCAGUGAUUGGAUGGUGAGAAUUGGUUUGAGAAGGCUCAUUCAUGUCCAUAUAAGCCUCAUAUAACAUGUCAAACAUCAUCAUGGAAGAAUUUGAAGCCAGACAAGAAAUUUCCAAAAAUAGAAAGUUGACCUGUAAUUGGAAUUUGCCAAAAAUGGAAAGUCUUGAUCCUCAAACUUACAUCAUGAUACAAGCUUCAAAUGAAUUUUUGCCCAACAUGAAAGUUGAAUAUCUUGUUCUCCCAUUUCCAAAAAGUCCAAGAACACUCAAUUCCCAUGUAUGGUUGGCAAGUCAUGAUCAAAUCAUUUUCAAAAAUUCUUGAACUUCAAAAGGCCAUAUCUCUCAAACCAUUUGGCCAAAUUUGGUGGGGUUUUUUCCAACAAGUCACAUUUGACCUCCUCUUUCCAAAUAUGUAACCAUCACUCACCAAAACAUCAUAGAUCAAAAUGGCAUUUUUGGACUUGCAUGAAUUAAUUUCAAGUGUAGUGAAAAUUUGACUUUUUAAAAUAAUCAUUUUCCAUCAAAUUGGCCAUUUGAAAUAGUUCAGAAAUUGCAUUUUGGACAUGUUAGAAGCCCAAUUUCGCAGCUGUUAGCACAUGGCCUUGUCAUUUGAGUGGAAUUGCACAAUUAGUCAAAACACCUUCAUUNNNNNNNNNNNNNNNNNNNNNNNNNNNNNNNNNNNNNNNNNNNNNNNNNNNNNNNNNNNNNNNNNNNNNNNNNNNNNNNNNNNNNNNNNNNNNNNNNNNNNNNNNNNNNNNNNUGUUUCAUCAACAUCCUUCCAUGGCAGAUAUUGGUUGCAGCUAGUAGCAAGAUUGUUGAGCCAAAAUUCCUUAGCCAUACACCAUCUAGAGCAUCGUGGUUCAUCUGUUUCAACCAUUUGAGGCCAAGUAACCACGAUCCAACUCAGCUCUUCAAAUCUGGUAUGUACUUCGAAUCUCUCAUUUAUUGAAAUGAUGCUAUCCUUUGUGUAGAUCUUGCCAUGCUUAUUGUUUUGAGCUUUGAACCAAGAAAAAUGGUUGAGUAUUUACAAAGUUAUGCUGAAUGGAAACUUGAUAUGUGAAUGAUGUUUUGCGUAGUUCUUCCAUUGCUAGCUCGAUUUCAUGAUUUUUGAUGUUAGGAUGUUGAUGAGGGUUGUUUAGUGGUUCGAUUGCUAUGCUUGAUUUCAUGUUCUGGGCAAAUUAAUUUUCCACGAUUGGUGAAGAAGAUGAUGAUAUGAACUGUAGCUUCACAAACCCUAAAAAAUAAACCCAGAAAUCGUGUUCUGCAUUUUGGCUUUUGUUUGCAUGAAAUUGCCACUGUUUUAUUGCCAUGAGCGAAUGGUUGCUUGCCACGUCUGGGAGUGCUGCGCACCGUUUCAUUAAAAGGUCUCAAUAAUUACCAAUAUGCCAUUGCCGGAUUAAUUCUUAUUUAAAUCAUAUUAUUUCUUCAAUAUUCAUUUCAUUUGUUACACCAAUUUGCAAAAAUCAUAUCUCAUCCAUUUGUGAUCCAAAUUUCAUAAAAUGUUUUGCAUUAUGCUCUGCUUGAUCUCUACUUAUUAAUCAUGAUUUUUCCUGAUUUUUUAGAUAAGUGAAUUUUAAAUGGUGCUAGGGUUUGUGACAUGUAUCCAUAUUUUGUACCUUUUACCAAAACACUUGUGAAAUGAUGAUGCAUUAUCCUAUGGCCUUGAAAUUUUUUAUUCUCAAACUAGACACAUUCAUGGUGAUUUUCGUGUAGAGUUUAGGAAUUUAUCAUCUCUGGUUGUUGAGUUAUGAUUUUUUGAAGCAGGGUGUGACAAUUUGUGUCACACCAUUGAUGUGCAACUUGAUGAUUUUCAAUACCAUGCCUCUGGACCUCAAAUUGGAUUGAAUUUUUGCAUGAAUGUACUUGAGUUACUCUAGUAUUACAUGUGAUGUUUCUUUCGAAAUUUACCAUUUCNNNNNNNNNNNNNNNNNNNNNNNNNNNNNNNNNNNNNNNNNNNNNNNNNNNNNNNNNNNNNNNNNNNNNNNNNNNNNNNNNNNNNNNNNNNNNNNNNNNNUAACGGUAGUAGAUAAUACAUCUCAUGCGCUCUUCAGUCAAAGCCUUUUUCUUCCCCAAUCGAGUAAGAUUCGUAUUUCCUUGUGGAAUCGAAUGGCCAUCCUGUAAGUCGAGUUUGCUUUUUCAGCCCUCCUUUCGGAUGAUGGGUGUCUUGGAUAUGUCCCAAUUCACGCCUGGUUGGUCACCUAUUAUAUACCCAGCAACCGGUAUCCCUGGUGUUCCUUCCUUCUGCUCCCUGUUAUGACUUUUUGUCCCCUGUGGAGUCAGAUUUUCCUGAGUUGAGAUGUGCCUUUUGGGUUCUCCUUAGAUGUUUCGGAUGAUUGGUAUCUUUCACCCUUUGAGUUUAUUAUCCAGUAACCUGUAAUAUCUCGUUGUUUCUUCCUCAGCUGAGUCCUUUAUGGACAUCCCCGUCUGAGUCCGGAUUUCAUCCGAUGUAUCCUUUUUGGAUAAUUUUGUUGUAUUGGCACAUUCCCCAAUACAUGCAUCUUUGUGUUAGCUCGAGUCUUUCCAUCAAUUUAUUUUCAUGGAACCCCUUCGCGUCUCCCAGCAAAUUUUCAAGUCGUGACCUUCUCACGCAUUUUUACCUUAUUUCCCCCCAGAGUCUCUGUCUCCCUAGUGAGUGUGUUACUCAUAUGGAUCUUCAGCGCCCCCGAUUUCUUUUUCUUUGUGGAAAUUAUUCACCACGAAGAUUUUUGUUUUGCAUACAUACAUUUGCAUCAUGAGGUCUCUUAGGGACCAAAAUUCGUCUCUUUGCUAUUAUUUAAGCUCAUUCUAUCUCGUCAAGAUGAAGAUUUAAACCUUCAUAUCUCUGGCUAGAACGAACUUAAAUAGGGGCAUCUGUAAGACCCUAAUUAUGACCCUAAGAUCCCUCAUGACAUCAUGUUAUUGUACAAGUGCAUUGUCUCAAGGAUCAUAGCAUGUUUGGCUCCUUAACCCUAGGGUUGGGACUUGUUUGAGUGUUUUGAGACCACCAAGCAUGCUUGUAUUGUAUAUUAUUGCUUUUCUUAUUUGAUUACUAACCAAAAUCACAAGAUUAUGUCACUAACUCUUUUUGUUUUGAAGCUCAAGUGAUCAUGUGCUCCACAAUUUCUAAGAGGCUCCUAAGCCCAAUGCAAUGGCUAGAUGAAGAUGAGAAAAAGCAUGAAAAUGGUCCACAAAGUUUCUAAUCAUCAUAUAUGUCUCCCAAGUAUCUCAAUUUUCCAAUUUGAUCAAGAUAACCCAAAGGGCUUGAAGAUUGUUUCCCAAGGAAACCCUAAUUUCACUGUGCUUUUAUUGUGCCUUGCCCAUGAAGCAAUCUCAACCUAUGAUCAAAUUUAAUCAAGGGAAGUUAUUUCAUUUAUCAUUUUAUGGAUAUAUGAUCCUAUUUUAGGCCCCUCAAUCAUUCAUUCAUCAAGAAUUGGAAGUUUUGCCUUGAAAAGUUGACCAGUCAAGUCAUCUAACUAAGCUGAGGUCCAAUGAGACAUAAUUUUUGAUAUGUUUGUCAAAUGAAGAUGACCCCAAGAGAAAAUAUGUUCCUAAGAACCAUAUGAACAAAUUUCAUGUUCAUCAAAAAUCCAUUUGAAACUUGGAAGGUCAUCAUUCAUUUCAAAAAAGUAUACAUCAUUUUGACUAAAACCCUAAUUUUGGGUCAAUUUACCAAGGACGUAACUUCCUUAAUUUUUAUGAUUUUGAAGUGAGACCAAAUGCAUUGGAAAUAUUGAGAUGUCUAAUUCAAAUUAUAUGUUGGAAAAAAUUUCAUAAUCCUUAAAUAAAUACAUGUGAUAAUGAAAAACAUUAUAGGUCAUCUUGGACCUAAUUCAUUGAAUUUGAAAAAGUACUCAACUUCAAGUGCCCAUAACUUUGUCAUAGAAAAUCCAAAUGAUGAAAACGUUCUGUCCUAAUUAUAAAUGCUUCAUUUGGAUUUGGUUUCUACCACCAUCACCACGUGUGCACUUUUGUGACCCUUGGAUUUGGUUUCCACGAUCUAAUCUCACACUUCCAUUUCAAUUACUUCAUUUAAUGCACGUUGUUGCGCGUUUGACUCAAGCCCAGCGUGUGUCCUUAGAUCUGGACCAUCCAUAAGCGCCACGUCAACUAAUGAAAUCCAUCAUGUGGUUGUGCAUUUUUCGUUUAUUCCAUUUUCUUUUUUAUUUUCUAUUAAUUCCUUUUAUUUUCAAAAUUUUAUAAAAAAUUUAUUUGAAGUCAUAAAAAUAUGAGACCAACUCCAAACUUUUUCUUGAAAAAUCUAGUUUCAUAUUAUGAUUUUUAAUUAUUUUUGUUACUUCAUCAGAUAUUUUUUAUGAAUUACUUGUUUUUUUAUUGGUUUUAAUUCAUUUUAAAAUACUUUCUGAAUUUUAAAAAAUCCAAAAAUAUUUUCAUAGCAUCUAUGGCCCAUGAUAAGUCAAUGAAAAAUAGUCUCAACAAUUUCUUAUUUGAUUUGAGAUUAUUUGAGAUUUUAAUUAAUAUUAUGCUAUUUUUAGUUGUUUUUAAUUGUUUUUAAUUACUUUCUGAUUUCAAAAAUAUGUGAGAAAAUUAGUCAAAGCUUGUUUGACUACGUUGAACCUAUGAGAAUUUAAUUGGACUUUUUGAAGUUGAUUUGAAUUGAAUUUGAGGUUCAACCUUAUUUGUUUAUUUUUAUUUGCAUUUUAUUUUAAUUCAAAAAAAUACAAAAAAAUAUUGUUGAUUUAUUGAUUUGUUAUCUUCAUUUCUCUUCUGUUUGGUGUUGAUUGAUGUUGAUUUGAUUCACAUUUGAUCAAUUGGAAUUGAUUGUUGUCUUCCUUUCCCCUCCCUUUCAUCUUCAUCCCUUUCUUUCCAUCAAUGGCCAAUGAGUUAAAGUCUUGAAGUUGGUCUUGACAAAUGAGAAGUUUAACCUUCUUUGAUCCAAACUAAACUCAACUUGAUCCAUGAUCAAGUGAGUUGUUUUGUGUCCAAGAAAGGUUGCUUCUUGGUCAAGCAAAUAACUAAAAGUCAAUACAAGGCCCUUCCCCUUUUGUUUGGCAUGGCAAGUUUAUGGAGCUUGGCUUACUAGUCAUGAUCUCUAACUUUUGUUCUUUGCCUAUAUUCUUAUUGACCGGCCUCAGAUAGGUGUGACUACUACAUUAGUUCACUUACGAUUGCUUAACAUAGCACUACAUUGUCUUAUGACAAGCUAACAUAACCACUAAAUACUAACUUUAAUUUGAGCUUUUAAUUUCUUGUCAUUUACUUUUAAUGUCAUUUAUUUUUUGCUCAUUAUUCAUAUUGAUUUUCAUCUUUGCUCACUUGAGCACAUACUUUAUGUUUAUGUCAUUUUUCCUUUGCUCAUUUGAGCCCAUUAUUGUAUACAAAUUUAUUGCUAUUUUGUGUUGUUUGUGUUUGUUUUGAUGUGGACCAAAUGAAAAAAGGAGAAAGGACUUAGAAUUAGGAUUUACCUAUGCUUAAAGGAGUUCAAGAGCAACUAGGUCUCAUGCCUUUAGAAUGCAAAAAUUUGUUGAAGAGCAACUAGGCCUCAUGCCUUUAGAAUGCUAAAACUCAAAGUUGACUUUAAAGGACUUCUCCUCCAAACUUAUUCUUUGUCCAUUCCCUUUAUUGUGUUGUGAACUUUUUGAUGUUUGCUUUUAUGUGAUAGGGAUCCCAUCUUAAGAUUGUGAAAAGAGGACCAUUGUCAUGACUAGCCAAGUUAAGAGCCAAGCAAAAUGGAGAUCCUAGGAGCUUGAAUUCAAUUUAUUGAUUGCUUGUUUGUGUGCUAAGUCCAAAGGAAAGGAGCAUCUUGAGUCAUCUCUAUGGCUUCAAGAAAAGCAACUCCAGGGGUUUUUAUUUCCACUCUUAUCUUUGUAUGCUUUAGGAAUAUCCCUUCUCUUCUUCUCCCCACUCUAACCAAGCCAAAAACCAUUUGCAAAACUUUGACCUUGUUUCAAAUUAGAAACCUAGGCCUUAAGCCUUUGACUUUUCAAAACUAUUUUCAUAAAUACUCAUUAUGAAUAAACUUUAAUCCAAACUUUGAAUUCAUUUUGUAAAUAAGUCUAACUUGUGAAUACAAUCCAUUUCAAGUUGUUUUGUGGUUCCAAUGGACACUUUCUAAAAUCUUUCAAAAACACUAGUCAUAGGUUUGAGUUAUCAUAGUGGUUGAUGUAAAUCUCACCUCAUCCUUAGUGUGGGAUUAUAAGUCUUCCAUGCUUAUUAUAGGGUUAAGCCCUCACUAGCAUGUUGAAGCCUUCCUCACAUGGUGGAUUGUUUGUUUAGGUUGAGUUUUCUCCCUUUGAUAACAAAAGUACGUAAGGCUUUUGAUUAAAAUCAAUUCACCCAUCUUUGAGAUUUUUACCCCGAACUACGAGGUUUUGAUCCUCCUUUGUGAUGGUACGUACGCAAUGGGUUCAUCCAUUCAAACAACAAAAUUUGUAAAUAUAAUCUAUUCUCUUCUCAUCCCCCCAAUCUUUUUGUACAAAUCUUUUCACAAAUACCAACCUACAACACAUAUUCGCAAGAAGAGGUUCCCUUAGAGUACUAAGGAUGCUUUGGGUGCUUAAAACCUUCCCAUUUCAUAACCAACCCCCUUACCUAAUUCUCUGACAUUUUUAUUAGUUUUUUAUUUGAAAAACUUCUUCUUUGGCUUUUGUUUGCUAUUUAGCCUUUCCUUUGGACAAAUAAAAGUGCGAAGGCGACUCGAAUUUUAUGUUGACUUUUGGUUUAGUCAAUAAACCUAAAGGUAACGAAAACCCCGCUACACAUCGGUAUCAUUAGAAACCUAGGCCCGGAUGUGUUUGAAUUCUUCAUUAACAGCCAACCAGUACACCUGUUUACCCUGCCAUACCCUAGGAUGGGUGUACAUGAUAGGAACAACUGACUCUAUGAUUUGGAUGGACAAUCACCCCAAAUCCAUGCUAACCCUGACAAUUAUCUCUCUGAUGCUGAAUCACAUGCCCCGGUUAUACCUGUUGCACCUCUCACCGAUCAUGCUACUGCCAUCGAAGUUGUUCAGACAGAUAUCGCCAAUCUGAGAGGCGAGUUGAGUACCCUCCGCGUGGAAUUCCACGGCUUUGUAGAUGUAGUAACAGAGAACCUGGAUCACAUUUACCAACAUUUCUACUCGUUCUCUCCUCCUACCAGGAGUCGCCAUAAUGGAUGAUUUACUAUAGAGUUAUCGAUUUACUGACUUUCAUUUUAUUUUAUUUUCAUGUUGGAAUUUUAUUGUUAUUUACUUCUACACAUUGGAAUUUAUUUAAUUACUUCAGUCCCUUUUAUUUCGGUAGACAAAUUUUUUCAUCUUUUCCCGUCUACCCGAUUCUUUUAUUCGUCAAUGUUGCGAUUAAAUUCCAUUCCAAUGUAGCAUGUUUAUUAUUCACAUACACUAUAUUAUUGGUAAAUUAAAAAUUGCAUGGUCAGAGAAAAAAUAAAAGCACACGCAUGGGAAACCACACUACAUGUGGCGCAUGCCACAGACAGUUGUGGCGCCCGCCACAGGGCCCUAGUGGCGCCUGCAACACGCAUGGGAAACCACACUACAUGUGGCGCAUGCCACAGACAGUUGUGGCGCCCGCCACAGGGCCCUAGUGGCGCCUGCCACACACACCAAAAGUGGCGUAGGCCACUACACAAGCCUGCACGCGCAGGCUGUGUACUUUAGUCCAUUCAACUCACCUUUAUUGUGAUGUUCCUUGCAUGCAGACAAUUUCUUAAUGCCAUUCAACCAAUUUCAAAACUCUUCGACCAAGGCAUUGACUAUGGUAAAUGCUAUUUAUUUACCAAUUAAUUUUCCAACCACCUUCACCUCUAUAUAAACCACCAACGUUACCUCAACAAUUCACAACUCUUAUUUACAUAUUUCUCUCCUCUCUUGCUCUAUUGUCACUCUAAUACACAAAGAGUGUGAAAUCCAUUAUGGCACAGAUGAGGGAAUACGAAAUAGUGUUCAGAAAUGGCGAGCCAGGCGAAUUACAAAAGGAGACGUACAUGUCUCUAAGCGCCAGAAAGAUCAAAUCAACAAGGUAUGCCGAUGAACAUUGUUUAUAUGCCUUAGGAAUUCAAGAUAAUGCUAACUCUAUGCUAUAUACGUUAAAUUUAAAUUAUUUUCUAUCUCUUAAGGACCCUGUCUAUGCUCAACUAACAUUAGAAUUCCUGAGUUCAUUAAUUUUUAGUCCCACACCCAACACAAACUUCUCUAAUGGGACUGUCCAGUUUCAUUUAUUUAACGUCGAAUAUGCCCUUACAUUUUCCCAACUGGCGGACCUGCUACAUUUCCCCCAUGGGGAUGACGUAGUAAGUGAGGUCCCAGAUACUGAGGGUUGACAACACGCUUUCCAACCAUUUUGGAGGGCACUAAUCGGUACAGUAACCCAUAGUUUUGAGGGAAACAGAGCCACUUUAAUUCAAAAUCCGACUAUUUGAUAUUUUCGCCAAAUAUUAGCGUGCACCAUUUUUGGCCGAGCAAAUUCUAACAAGGUGAACGAAAAAGAACUCUUCUAUUUGUUCGCCACAUUUUUGCCAUAAAAGGUGAAUAUCGUCCCGUUUAUGUUAUCUCACAUGCAAUCCAUUGUCAAUGCGAAGCGAGGGCUGAUUAUUUUUGGAGGUUUAAUAACCUCCCUAGCCAGAGUCCUAGGACUCGAAGAAAAAUUCUCCAGGCUAACCCCGCUCCCGCAUCAUGCAACUGACAUUGACAUGGCAAGGAGCAUGAAACUAGCAAAACGAAGGAGUGACGGUAGAUUUAAUUUAAUAAUUGCAAAUAAUGUCUUAAAAGAUUUCAUCCUCCCUAAUCCAAAUCGCACAGAUGUGCGUAACCCGGAUAAUUAUAUUUAUACAAAUGAUCUGGUGCCUAACCAAGUCCCCACGCACAUUCCUGAGAAUGUAGUUGCUGGCGGGGACACUGAUGAAGAUCAUAUUCCGAAGCAAACUACUCCUGCUACUGACCUACACACCACACACACUUUAUUUGAAAAUGUUGUAGGUACAUCUUCCAGUCAGAGACCAAGAAGAAAUGUGGCACCAGCCACUCUUGAUAAGAUCUAUGUUGAACUAUUGUGGCAUAGAGAAUUAGACGCUCAACGAGACCUAUAAAUCCAAACCAUGGGAGCUCAGCAAAUCCUUCUUCAAAUGCAGCAUGAUCAGCACGAAUAUGCCUUAAGGGUCGAACAAAACAUGUCUGGCUUGAUCGAUGAAAUAGCAACACUGAUAAUGCAUGUGGAAGAUCUCCAGAACUAUACGUCACCUCACAAGCCAGGGAAUGGUGGAUAUCCAUGUACACGUGGCAGAAGGCGUCAGUAGCAGAAUAAACCAGGUUCUACCAUUCUUUCCUAUCUUAUGUCAUUGCAUUGGGGACAAUGCAAGAUUUAAGUAUGGGGGAGGAAGCUUAACCGCUCUUUAUUUUACUGUUUUCUAGUUAGAUUUAUAUCAUUGCUAUUUCUUUUUGUUAUUUUAUAAUUUUUAUGGUUAUUUUAAUUUUUGUUAAAGUGUCAGUCGAGUUAAAUAUCAAUGUGUUGUCGAGUCUUUAUGCGUGAUUUCCAUUAUUUACUGAUUCUCUUGUUUACUUGAGCCAUACAAUUUUUUUUGCAAAAAUCUAGACUUAUAGAUACAGUGCAUCUUUUGAAAUAUCUGAACAAUAAAUCAAACUGAGGUUGAAUUGUAGAGAUUUGGAAAAGCUUUAUAAGAUUGGUAUCGCUUUAACACCUUAAAUAUCCCAAGUAUUAGAUCGAUUUGAGCACUUGUCAUGUCAUACCCUUAAAUUCUAUCAUUUAAUAUUUCCUUAAGUAGUUUAUCUAGCAGUCAGCACCAUCCUAAGCACACACUACACAAGAAGUCGAUGCAAAUAAGUGUAUGAUUUUCAGGCUUAAAAUAAGAAAAGAUUACAAAAUGUAUGAAAAACGUUGUUCCCUCUAAGUUAGGUGACCCUCACCCGGUCAUUUAGCUCAACGGUAUAACCAUUUUCAAAUGUUAUUUUAGCCAAAGUGCGAAAAAGAAAGAAAGAAAUAAUGAUGAGAUCAUAGUCACUAACAGACUAUCUUGCUAUGAAUGUGAAAGGAUAACGGGCUUAAUGUGAUUGCGCUAGAAUGAAAAAGGAUAAAAAUAAGGUUUAGUAAGGUAGGCUUAGGCAUGACAACAUGAUUCGGAUUGGUUUGUAUAGGAGGGAGACUUAUGGUUGCAACAUUGUGACUGAGUGUUCUAACGAUACCCUUAGUGUGGAAGUGAGUAAUAUAAAUUUGAAACAAAGUAAAGUUUAUAGACUAGAAUGAGUAUCCGAAUGCAACUAGGUUUUUUACGAGUCUUGAUAAUGUAUGUUGUAAAUAUUUUACAAAACUUUUUAUUCAUGUACGCGGCAUUUGCUUGAGGACAAACUAUAGUUUAAGUAUGGGGGAGUUUGAUAACGCGAAAAUGUAUUGUAUUUUUGGCUCUAUAUGCACUACUUUUUACUCGAUAAACACUAUUUAUUACACAAUAUUUUGU